rnacentral:lncRNA from 1 species
UGAAAUCGAAAUCUUCUUCUUCUUCUUCCUUCUUGUGUCUGUUUAUGCAAUUCAUCUUCUUCGUCCUCUUCCCUUUCCUCGCAUUCUCAUCCUUCGCAGAAGAAUCAAAUCCCUCCCAUUUCCAAAACAUGGCCACUCUCGGCGGAGUCCACGAAUCCCAUGCCUCCGAGAACAGCCUCGAAACCGAAGACCUCGCUCGCUUCGCCGUUCAAGAUCACAACAAGAAGGAGGUUUUUACUCUUUUUUGCCUUUUAAUUUCUUCAAUAUUAUGCACUUGAAAUUACUUCCCGCUCAAUCAGUCAGUGACUUUUGAUACAUUUCUCGUACACCAACACGAACACCAACUGAAUGGGAAGAAAGCACUUGAAAUUAUGGCCACAUGAAAUUAUAAAGUCCACCAACAUUUAUGAUUAAUAUAAUUCUAUCUUUAUCAUGAUCAGAGCCCAAGAUUGAGUUAAACCUUGUAGUCAGUCACGUGUGUGGUGUGGAACGGAUAAUUGUGGUUUAAACAGUCCCCAUUACGAUGCAUGUGAACGGGAUCUUCUCAAUGUUGAUAUGCCUAUGAUCAUCCAAUUAAUGGGGGGCUUGUGAAAAACGAAAUGCAAGUUGGUUCGCAAUUCUCUGUUUUUUUUUUUUUUUGUUUCGUGAUUUUUUUAGUCAAUCGGUUGUAGUUGCUGGUUUCGGAAUGUGGCAUGCGCUUAAUAAUGCUGGCAAUUGCUUGGAAACCCUAAAAUUGGGCCAAUCUAUGUUGCCCGUCGGUACGAAGAAGAAGAUUCAUGAAAUAGGCCCAAUGAGAAGAAGUGGAAGUCCUUAGCAGGCAGGCUGUGCAUAUAUAUCAGCCAGCGAAGAAAAUCUUAAAAUUACAUCAUGCUAAGCAUACUAUAUUUGCAUACCACCUUUUUAAUAGAUGUGAUACACAACGUGAUAUAUAAAUUGAUAUAGCUAGUAUUUUUGUUUGUAUACUUAUGAGGAAGAUGGAUCUUAAAAGUAAAUAAUUCAUUUUUGCUGUCUCAAACCCUACCGCGUUGUUUGGUAAGCAUAAACGACGACCCUCCACAAAGAAAAGCCAUGGUCCUAGAUUCUUGAUUGAGUUGUUUCUAAAGAUAUAAAAACAGCAAUGAGCUAAUGCUUGUCAAUGUCCAAAAAAGAAAAACUGAAAAAAGAGAAGGAAACGAUCAAUGCUUAUUAUAUAGAUGAUGUGAUGUCUCUUUUUAUAUAGAUGAUGUGAUCGUUUUAAGGACAGAAAAUGAAGUGUCAAAGAAACCGUGUAGGGUCAUCCGCGUUACAAAAGCAUUUGGGUUCUUGUUGUUUUUUUUUUUUGUAACCAAAAUAUCGGGGCGUAAUGAUCUCAUUCGAAGACUCCAAGUCAAUGAAAUAUUGAGUCACAUAAUAUCUCAAGUUCUCAACAGCCCUUCAAAACUUGCUGCAAAACUGAACCAGAAGAUCCAUAAUCCUUCGCAAAGAAUCGAAACAUGACUGGAGCUUUGGUUGGAGGGGCUUUUCUCUCAGCUUCCUUGCAGGUGCUGUGCAACAAGAUUGGUUCCGGCAAAUUCAAGGACUUACUCAAAAGUAGUUAGGGUUUAAAUUAAUAUAUAUGUUUAUUCUUCUCUCAAGGAGGGAUAUAUAUAUAUAAAGACUUUCUCUAUUGCGAAGUGCAAGUGUGCGGAGUGGAUGAGGACUUCUAUUUGUGACCAUUAGAUUCCUUGUACGCUAUGAAUUUAAAACAUCAUUGAGAACUUCUAUUUCUAUAAGAGCUUUUCAGUCUUUUGGUAAGAGCCACAAUUUCCCGCGCUUACAUAUCCAAUCUACUAACCUCUGUUUCUUUCUUCCACCAGAACACCUUCUCUUCCCUGUGCUUUCAUCCCUAGCAAUAUCACAGCUGCUCCUCUGGGUUAUAAUAUUUUUAUUUCUUGUUUUCAAGACAUUCUCGUCCAUGUGCUCUCAUCCCUGGCAAUAUCAUAGCUGCUCCUCCAGGUUAGAAUAUUUUUAUUUCUUCUUCUUUUCUUUUUUGCUUUAUGAUAUAUGGGUAUUUUCCAUUUUGCUUAUACAAAGUUUUUUUAUUUUCUUAUGGUAUGGGAUUGUUUACUAAGAAGAUUUGGGUUUCGUUGGAAAUCACGAAGGUUGGAAUCGGAAAAACAGAAAGCACUGAUGUAUGGGUUUUAUGGAUUUGGCUACUAAUUGGUCUUUGUUUUUGUAUGGUUUUGGCUAAGUUAUUCUAUUUCGUUUUCUGGUUGAAAGUUUAUCUAAUUCAGGUUUGAUAUGCACUUACGAGUUUGGCUUUUGGUUUAAGCAUUGCUACAGUAUUCUUUGCUAUUGUUUACCAAUGUUCAUUGACCAAUAUUUUUGUUAUUUUUUGCUUUAAUAGAUGAAACUUUAGAGAUGGGAAUGAAUUUAUGGAAGAUACUAAUGAAAAUAAUUCAGAUUUAUUUUUCAAUCCUCAAGCAGAAGAUCAGCAUGUACCAAAAAUUGGUCAAGAGUUUGAAUCACUUUGAAUCAUUAUUGUUCAAGCUAUAAUUUUGUAUGAAGCUGAACGUCAAUUAUUGUUGUAGCUUCAAUUCCUUUGUCUUGUAAUGGAGUCUUGGGACCAUCUAUUUCAAUCAUUUAUCUCUUUAUAUCUUUUUCAAACUUUUGAAGAUAUCCUAUACACAAACUUUGCAAAUCAUCCGAAGAAGGCAUGACUCUUCGAAUCAUAUCAGGAAAUCAUAGUUAGCUUCAAUAUCCCCAUCUGCAAAUUAAAUAUAGUUAGUAAUUGUAAACAUCAGGUAAAUACAUAGUAUAAUUAAACAACAGAUAGCCAAGGUCAUAUAAAAAAAUCCCACCCAGCAGUACAACACCUCACCAAACUCAAAACAAAACAAAAGUGAGCCAAGUUCAUAUGAAGACUAAGUAAAACCCAAACCCAAAUCAACGAGGAUAUCCCUAUAAAAAGAAAUAGAAAAUCAAUGUAGAGAAGAAGGGAAAUGACGUAUUGCAUAUACAGAAUCACAAAUUGCAAUUGUGGUGGAAGAAAGAAACAGAGGUUAGUAGAUUGGAGGUGUAAGCGCGGGAAAUUUUGGCUCUUACCAAAAGACUGAAAAGCUCUAGAAAUAGAAGUUCUCAAUGAUGCUUUAAAUCUACAGCGUACAAGGAAUCUAAUGGUCACAAAUAGAAGUUCGCAUCCACUCCGCACACUUGCACUUCGCAAUAGAGAAAGUCCCUAUAUAUAUAUAUACUACAUACAUAGUGGGUACAAAUAGGAACGUUGACUUUGACUCAUGCCAACACUCCCUCUCAAGUUGGUGCAUAGAUAUCGGUAAUGCCCAACUUGUCAAGUGAGUCUUCAAAUCAGUGCUUUUGACACAGCAUGGGUCAACAUAUCUGUAAGCUGCUCCGAAGAAGGCACAAAAGGUAUAGAAAUUAACUUAUGCUCCAGCUUCUCCUUAAUGAAAUGUCGAUCAACUUCUACAUGGUUAGUUCGAUCAUGUUGCACCUGAUUGUUAGCAAUUUCAAAUGCAGACUAUCACAGUAGAGCUUUAUAGCAGCAUCUGGUCUAAACCCAAUUUUAGCAAGUAACCACCUUAACCACAAUAUUUCACAAACCCCUUGGGCAAUUCCUCUGUACUCAGACUCUAUAGAGGAACAAGACACAACAUGUUGCUUCUUGCUAUGCCACAUAACUAGGUUACCGCCAACAAAGGUGAAGUGACCUGAUUUAGAACGUCUAUCUAUAAUAUUCCCUGGAUAAUCUAUGUCAGUGUAACCUUCUAGAUCCAAGUGGCCAUUUUUCUUAAAUAUUAAACCUCUCCCAGGAGCAAACUUUAAGUAACUCAAAAUACGCAUCACAACAGCCAUAUGAUCUUCACUAAGGUGAAUGCAUAAAUUGGCUAGCAACGCUUACAAUAUAGGCAAUAUCAGGGCAUGUCAGUGAUAAAUAGAUCAAUCUCUCAACUAACCUUUGGUAUCUUUCUUUGUUAGUUGGGAUCUGAUCCACAUAAACCCCAAGUUUACGAUUCUCAACAACUGGUUUACAGUCAAGCAUUCCAGUAUUUGCUAGCAGGUCCAUGACAUACUUCCUUUAUGAAAGAAAUAAGCCAUGUUUAGAUCAAGUGAGUUCCACUCCUAGAAAAUAUUUCAGACUGCUCAAAUCUUUCAUCUCAUAUUUUUCUUUUAUGUUGUUAGAUUCCCUCUUUAUUAUUCCAUGUCUAUUUUCUUGUACAUACUUCUUGUUGGCAAUUAAUAUUCAGAAGUUACAAGAGUUGGGGGUUAACUAGAGAAAUUAAUUUGUUGGGUUAGUUAUCCAAAUUGUCCUCAAAUUUAUACCCGAGUUUCAUUUUGGUCUCUCAACUAAAUUAUUCAUUUAAAUGAUCCACCGACUCUUUAUUAAUCGGUGCAUUGGUCCUACAAUUACAUUUUCUGUUAAAUUAGUCUUAUAAGCAACACAUGCUACAUUUGUAAGGGUAAAUAAAACUUUUGAAAACUAAAAAAAUAAAAUUAUAUGAUUAAAAAUUAAUACAAUAUUUUCUUUAUUUUUAAAAAUAAUUUAAAACUAUAAACGAAUAAAAAACAACAAAAAGUAAUGUAAGAUCCCACAUCAACCAACGGAGAGGGGGUGAUGUGCCUUAUAUGUGCGCACCCGCAUCCAUCUAGCACGAGGCCUUUUGGGAGCUCACUGGCUUCGGAGUCGUAGGAACUCCGAAGUUAAGCGAGUUGGGGGCUAGAGCAAUCCCAGGAUGGGUGACCCACUGGGAAGUUGCUCGUGACCUCCCAGAAACAAAACCGUGAGGGCAGAGAGGGGGGCCCAAAGCGGACAAUAUCGUGCUACGGCAGAGCCGAUCCCGGGAUGUGACAAGUAACCCUAAAAAAAAAUCAGCCCACCCAACCCCCAUCUCAUCGUGGGUCUGCAACAGCCUCUCUCUCUCUCACUCUCUUCUCAAACAAACCCAGAGCCUUGCAGCCCCAAUAUUAAACAUUUGAAGGGAGAAAUAGAGGGAGAUAUAGGGAAGAGGUGGAGGGGACAAGGAGGGAGGAGAAGAUGGGGCGCUAGGGUGCUGGGGCAAUGGUUAUCGGGCUAGAGGUUGGGAGGUGGGAGAGGGCGAUAGUUUUUUUUUUACUUUUGGUUUUUUUUACUUUUGGUUUUUAGUUUUUAAUUUAUUUACUAUUUUAUUUUACUGGAUUAUUUGACGGCAAUAUUGACAAAAUGUAAUAGUAGGACCAAUGCAUCGAUUAAUAAAGUGUUGGUGGACAAUUUGAACAAAUAAUUUAGUUGAGGGACCAAAAUGCAAUUCGGGUAUAAAUCUAAGGACCAUUUGAGUAAAUAACAUAUUCUAAGUUCAAUCUAACGAACUAAUUCUUAAUUUCUUCAUACUUGAACUUAGGAGUAGCUAGUUGAGCUCAGAUAUGCAUGAAAAUGAAAGCACCUUGAAAGGUCGUUGUUUGCAAUUGGACCUACAGUUCCAUUUCACUAGAAUUUUGCCUUUUGUUGUAUCCUUUCCCUGAACUCCAGACUCUCUGCGUAUCAUUCCCAAUGAGAACUACCCCGACUUGACCCAAUUUGGCUUCGUGUAUUUUAAAAUUUCAAGCUAACUGCAGCUUCUAAUGGAAGCCCUUCUUUUACCUGUUAAUUCUUAGCAAAUAACUAACGUCCAGAAGUCGAGUCAUUUAUAGCAGGGGAUAGAUCAUAGCUUUGGUGUUGGCCCUUUAAGCAAACAGUAUUCUGAAGGGUAUUGAUGGGGAUUGGGGUCAGGACACAGGUCACCAACCACAUACACGAGUACCAAAAUCUAGGGUUAGUGCAAACUCACAUAUAUCGUAGCAAAUUCAUGUCACAAAUAAACUAUUUUAUUAAUCAUCAACAUAUGCUCCCUAACAACUAUUACAUUAGCCUUAUUUAUAGGCUUUACAAGACUUGGGCACCAAGGCUACUUGGUCCAAAAGUAAACUAAUUAAUUAUAAAAUCACACAUAAAUAAUAAAAGAUACCAUAAAACUACCUAAAUAAGAAAAUGACAAUAUAUCAUGAAAUAACUAAUUAAAUGGUAAAUAUCUAUCUUGAUCCACCCCUAUGCUCCUGCAUCAGACUCCCAUGGUUGGAAAGAAUUCGUCCUCGAAUUCAAGCCUUUGAUUGAGGAAAAUCCAAAUAGAAUCUUCAAUUGCUUCAUAUUAAUUCUGGAUGUUUUAGCAUCCAAUUGAAACCUUCCUUUCCAAAUAAAAAGUUAUUUGGAAUAUUUCGUUAUUCUUGGCUUCUUACUCCCUCUAGCAAUGCAAAUGUUUCUCUCUAGAAUCUUCAACCAAUUGACAAAAUCAACCAGAUUUUUGGCAACCUUCCAAGUGAAAAUAUUAAUGCUCAUAAAAUCAAUAAUAUCUUCUAAAGUUUUUCCAAUUCUCAUCUAUUCACUGUUCUUGCCAAUAAAUUGCUUAUCAAAAUUUCUUUGAACACCCAGACAAUUUUCAUUGCAAUUUUCACAGUUGCACGGAUCAAAUAUUGGAGGUAAAUUCAAAUUUAAUGAUUUUGAUGAAUAACAAGAUGCACCAAAAUUACCAAAUUUAUUUAUACCUUCAAAGACACAAUGAGAAUAACCGUGCUCCUCUUCACUUGACUCACACAGCGGAGUGCAAUAAUGAAGAGGGAUAUCUCCCUUGUACUCCCCGUCUAGACUCCUACGGCUUAGAGUGUCGAUGCAAGCUACUCGGUUCAGAUAAGGGUUCACACAUCCCUCCCCGUCAGAACUCUUACCUAUAUGGGUUCGAGAUUCAAUGCGAGCUAUGCGUUCUGUAAGUUGCCUUAGCAUCCUCCUAAUUUCCUCCAUGUUGUUGUCGUUGUAGUUGUUAACAAGACCCUCCAUCCAAAAACCUCCCCGAUAAAGCAGAUCUUGAGCCAUAGCUAUGAUACCAAUUGAUGGGGAUCGGGGUCUGGACAUAGGUCACAACCACAUACACGAGCACCGAAAUCUAAAGCUAGUGCAAACUCACAUAUAUCGUAGCAAAUCCAUGCGACAAAUAAACUAUUUUAGUAAUCAUCAACAUAUAUUCCCUAACAACUAUUACAUUAGCUUUAUUUAUAGGCUUUACAAGACUUGGGCACCAAGGCUACUUGGUCCAAAAGUAAACUAAUUAAUUAUAAAAUCACACAUAAAUAAUAAAAAAUAUCCUAAAACUACCUAAAUAAGAAAAUAAAAAUAUAUCAUGAAAUAACUAAUUAAAUGGUAAAUAUCUAUCUUGAUCCACCCCUAUGCUUCUGCAUCAGAUAUAAUGCACAGCAGCACAGAUACACAAAAUUGCAAGACCCCAUUAUCCAUCAAAUCUUUCCAAUUAACUAAUUUUGGUUCUCCUUUGAGUCUACAUGUCUCUGUCUUCCAAAAAAUUAAUGAAAGUAUAUGUAUUCAAAACAUGAGAAGGAAAAAAUAAAAAAUAAAAAAAAUAAAAAGGGCACUUCUCUGUUGGUUCAUUUUCUUCUUCUUUUUAUGCGUGAUGCGGUAAAUUCAAUGUCUUACUUAUUUUACAAAGAGAUUUGAUAAAUAAAUAUAAAAAAUAAAGAAAUAAAGAAAAUUAAGCCAAAAAUAAUAAAAGGAAAAAGAAAUCAGCACCAAUGACAUUUCACAUAUGUUCAAUCAAAUUGUGCACAUUUUGCAUUAGUAGAUUUCAAUAUAAAAAAAAUAAAAAAAAAUAAAAAAAUAAAAAGAGGCGAGAAUGGGUUGGCAGCUACCACGAUUUCAUUGGAUUGGGAUGAUGGGGAUGGCUAACGCUGAAUCGCGUGGGAGGGAAGUUUUUCUCCCGCUUGUGGAGAGAGACAAAAGUGUCAAAACCAUGUGGGGUCCCCACAUUACAACAGCAUUUGCUGAUUGUCUCAUUGGAAAAGUCUAAGUCAACAAAUGAGUUUUUAUUAUUAUUAUUUAUUUUAUAGUAAGAGCUUUCAAAACUUAUGUAUUGAUGGACACAUAUAUAUUGAAUAUUUGUAUGUUGCAUUAUUAGAUGGAAAUUGUGUCAUCACAAAUGACCUUCCGUUGUUUGUUUCUGUUAUUCUUGGAAUUGGUUAGACUCUUGUUAAACAAUAAUUUGAUUUUAAUAUAAAAAAUGAGAGAAGGAAAAUAUGUAUCAAUGCUUGCUUAGCAUAAUCCCAACAAAAAACCCGCAUCAAAUAAUACAUUGUUGGACGGUAGCUUUAUGUCGAGUCUGUGGACCUCAUCCUCAUGUCAAGUCUCCCAAGUCAAAUCAAAUUGAGAAUUACCAAAUCUUAACACCCUUCAAAACUUGUUCCAAAACUGAACAAGAAUUUCCAAAACCCACAUACUUAGUCCAAAUCCUUUGCAAAGAAUCGAAACAUGGCUGGAGCUUUGGUUGGAGAGGCUUUUCUGUAUGCUUCCGUGCAGGUGCUGUGCAACAAGAUUGGUUCUCAUGAGUUCAGGGACUUGUUCCGGGAAAAGAAACUGGACGAGUCGCUUGUAAAGAAACUGAAGAUAACACUAUUGAGCCUCAAUGCAGUGCUUAAUGACGCGGAGGAGAAGCAGUUCACGAACACUUACGUCAAAGAGUGGCUUGAUGAGCUUCAAGAUGCUGUCUUUGAUGCGGAUGACCUUCUGGAUGAGGUCAAUGCUGAAGUUCUGCGAUGCAAGGUGGAAGCUGAAUAUCGAACUGUCAAAACUCAGGUGUGGAACUUCCUCUCUACUUCUCUUAAUCCUUUUUAUCAAGGCAUGAAUGGUAGGAUUCAAGAGUUGUUUGAUAGAUUAGAACACCUCGCAAAACAAAAGGAUUUCCUUGGGCUGAGAGAAGGUGUUGUUGGGGGGAAGGUUUCUCAAAGAACUCCAACAACUUCCUUGGUGGAUGAAUCUUGUGUGUAUGGUAGGGAUGGAGAUAAAGAAAAGCUGAUGAAACUGUUGUUAUCUGAUGAUGCAAGCGACAAGGAUGUCUCCGUCAUCACCAUAGUGGGAAUGGGCGGGGUUGGCAAGACAACCCUCGCUCAGCUCCUUUAUAAUGAUGAAAAAGUGAAAGAGCAUUUUAAUCUUAGAACCUGGGCUUAUGUUUCGGAAGCUUUUGAUGUUACUAGGGUAACUAAGUCCCUACUUGAGUCAGUCAGUUCAAAAGCUUACGAUAAUAAAGACCUGAGUUUUCUUCAAGUUGAGCUAGGACAACAAAUAAAGGGCAAGAAAUUUCUGUUUGUGUUGGAUGACCUUUGGAAUGAGAACUAUGGUGAUUUGAGUCUCUUGCAACGUCCUUUUGCAUCCGGGGCAAAGGGAAGUUGGGUCAUCGUGACAACACGUAACGAAAGUGUUGCAUCUCUCGUGCGCACCAUUCCGAUUCACUUUUUGAAACCCUUGUCUGAUGAGGAUUGCUGGUUGUUACUUUCAAAACACGCCUUCGAAAAUGGAAACUCAAGUGCACAUCUAGAUCUGGAAGAAGUUGGUAAGAAAAUUGCUUCUGAGUGCAAUGGUUUACCUUUAGCAGCAGAAACCCUUGGAGGCCUCUUGCGUUUCAACACAAAUUAUGAGCAAUGGAAUAGCAUACUAAAUAGCAAUAUUUGGGAGCUGCCUCCUGAAAAAUGUAAUACAAUUCCAGCUCUAAGAUUGAGUUACCAUUAUCUCCCAACUGAUUUAAAACGAUGUUUUGCUUAUUGCUCAAUUUUUCCGAAGGGCUUUGAAUUCCGAAAGGAAGAUAUUGUUCUACUGUGGGUGGCAGAAAGUUUAAUUCCACAAGCUGAGAGUGAGAAAAGUAUGGAAGAGCUCACUAAGAAAUACUUUGAUGACUUAUUGUCACGAUCAUUUUUUCAAAGAUCAACAAAUGAGAAGUUCACAAUGCAUGAUCUCAUCAAUGACUUGGCCAUGUCUGUGUCAAAGGAAUCCUGUUUGAGAUGGAAAGGGGGCGAAUCACAUGAAGUUUUGAAAAAAGUUCGGCAUUUGUCAUAUGCUAUAGGCCAAUUUGAUUGUGCUGCGAAAUUUGAGCCAUUAUAUGAGGUUAAGCAUUUGCGAACCUUCCUACCUCUAAGAAGCAAAGAAUGGUGGUUUGAGCAUCAUGUAAUAAGUAAAAGGGUUUUACCUGAGUUAUUGCCAAAUUUAACAUGUUUACGGGUGCUAACAUUGUCAGAAUAUGAUAAUAUUGUUGAGUUACCCAAUUCUAUUGGUAACCUCGUUCAUUUGCGCUACUUGGAUCUCUCUAAUACCGGAAUCAAAAGGUUACCUUCUAUAGUUUGCACUCUUUAUAGUCUACAAACAUUACUAUUGGCAAGUUGUCGGUCUCUUUUUGAAUUGCCUGCAGACAUGAGAAAAUUGAUUAACUUGAGGCAUCUUGAUUGUAGUGGAACUCAAAUUGAAGAGAUGCCGGUGCAAAUGGGUAGACUAAAAAGUUUGAGAACAUUGACUACUUUUGUUGUGGGGAAAUCUACUGGGUUGACUAUUGGCGAAUUGGGGGAGUUCUCCCAUCUUGGAGGAAAGCUUUCAAUUUUGAAGCUAAAUAAUGUGGUUGAUGGUAGGGAUGCCUUGCAAGCUAAUUUGAAGAACAAACAAGAUCUCAAGGAGUUAGAGUUGGCAUGGGGCUCCAAAGAUGCCGAUCAUUCCGAAAAGGUGAGAGAUGUGCUUGACAACCUCCAACCUUGCAUGAAUUUGGAGAAAUUGGCCAUCAAACUCUAUAGCGGGACCAGCUUCCCAAACUGGUUGGGAGACUCUGCCUUCAAUAAAAUAAAAGUUAUGCGCCUCGAAGGCUGUCAUUAUUGCUUCAAGUUGCCACCGCUUGGACAGCUACCUGCUCUUAAGGAUCUCUUCAUAUGUAAGAUGAAAUUUCUUGGGACGUUAGGUCAUGAGUUGUAUGGUCAGCCAUUUCAGUCAUUUCAAUCACUGGAGAAGCUGGAGUUUGAGGAGAUGGCAGAGUGGGAGGAGUGGGUACCAAGUGGAAGUGGAGGUCCAGACUUUCCUCGUCUCCAGGAGCUGAUUCUAAAAAAGUGUCCAAAGCUAAGAAGAAGCUUGCCUUGUGAUCUGCCUUGCUUGAAGAAGCUUGUCGUGAAAGGGUGUGGGGUUUUACAUGAUCAAAGGGUCACUGCUACUACUAGUACUAGUACUAGUCUCAACUACAAUUGUCUUGAAGAAUUGGAAAUAGAAGAUGGAUGCCAAACAGGUCUGUUAUCAUUACUAGAGACAAAGCUCCUGUCCCGACUUUAUGUUAGACGUUUUAAUGACAUACAGUGCUUGCCCAACAUCAAUCGUCUUCAAAGGUUGGCUCUCUCGACGUGUCCAACCCUGUCGUCGUUCCCUGAAGAUGGCCUACCCACUUCGUUGACUUCACUUAACAUAUACAGUUGUAGGAGAUUAGAAUUCCUACCUCAUGAGAUGUUGGCCCAAUUAACAUCGCUUGUCUCUUUGACGCUCUUGAAUAGCUGUGAUUCAAUGAGGUCCUUCCCCUUGGGCAUUUUUCCCAAAUUGACGACACUUUAUUUUUGGAAUUGUGAGAAUCUGGAGUCGUUUUGCUUGAUUGAAGAAGAAGGAGCGGUUGAGAAUCUCAGCCAUCUCAAUUACUUAAAUAUCGCGGGCUGUCCAAAUCUGGUGUGUUUUCCCCAUGGAGGAUUGCCCACUCCCAACCUGACUUAUUUGGAAUUCAGCAGAUGCGAGAAGUUGAAGUCAUUACCUGAACGCAUUCACACCCUCACAGCCCUAAGAUAUUUGUAUAUAAGGGAUCUUCCAAGUCUGGAGUCAAUUGCAGAUGGGGGUUUGCCUCCCAACCUCCGAUAUUUUAUAAUUGAGAAUUGUGAGAGACUGAGGGCUUCAUCUUCAUCAGUGGGAGACUACUGUAACUGGGGUUUGCAAGCACUUGUCUCCCUUAAACAAUUUAAAAUUUGUGGCAGGGGAAGUGAUGAAAUCUUGGAGACGUUGCUCAAGCAACAGCUGCUCCCUACCACUCUUUGCACUCUCGGCAUCGAGGACCUUUCAACUCUGAAAUCUUUGGAUGGAAAGGGACUUGCACACCUUACUUCUCUUCAACAACUAUUUAUUAAUAGGUGUGACAGUCUGGAAUUCCUGCCAGGAGAGGCACUUCAACACCUCACUUAUCUUCAAGAGCUACAUAUUUCCAAUUGUCCGAGUCUCCAACUCCUGCCAGAAGAGGGUCUGCCACCAUCUCUUUCUUAUCUGAGAAUCUACAAUUGUUCUGCCCUGGAGAAAAGGUUUCAGAAUAAGACGGGAGAAGAUCAUUGGGACAACAUAUCUCACAUUCCAUGCAUCAAGAUAAAUGAUGAAGUCAUCAUAUGAUGAUAUGACUUCUCUCUCUCUCACAUAGAGACAAACAAACUCUGGUCAGGUAUGUACUUCAAAUAACCGCUUUAACUGCUUUUCUUCAAAUAACCGCUUUAACUGCUUUUUUUUUUUCAGUCCCACAAAUCAUUCCUUCAGCUACAAAGUUCUAUUUGAUGAGACUUGAAAUGUUGGAUGUGUACUUGCAGACUUGAGAAACUUUCCCAUGUUUGGAGGUCAAAGCAACUUGUGUAGGCAACCAUGCCGGAGGAGAGUUUACCAUUUUAUAUGGAUUUUUGUUUUUCGACAAACAAAUUGCGGCAAAGAAGGGGAAAGAAUGUUCUCAAGGUGGAGCUCUAGCAAGAGACCAGCAUUUGGACAAUGUGGUAAACGGAUCUCAAUCUAACAUAACAAGCAUCACUAUUCAUGAUUAGGUAAUCUUUCAUCAUAAAAUUCCUUUCCCUACGUAAUAACUUGAAAACGUCAUUUAUGAGUUUCCUUUGAGAUGGAUGAAAAUGUGUACAUAUGUAUGAAUAACUUGUGAGAGCUCAAGUUCUGGGACAGAUGACGUUGAGGAAACUUCAUGCUUGGUCUUGCACAAUACUAUGAUUUUCCUCCGGUAGGGAAUCACACAAGUGUUCCCAAUGCAAUGAAUAUUAAUGCUGCACACUUCAUUAAUGACUUGUUUAUUUAGAAGAAACAUUUUUUUAUUGGAAAAAGAUAGUAAAAUACCGCAGAAGUGAACAAGUACUCGUCCAUCACAGAACAGGAACAGAUCUGAACUUAAGAGAAAUACAACUGUAAGAGCUUUAAGAAAGAAAUUAUCCUUGAGCUGCCUUCCAUCCAUCCCUGAAUUGUGAUUAAACCAAUGCCAAGGUGAAAAAAGAUAGUAAAAUAAACAAGUACUCGUCCAUCACAGAACAGGAACAGAGCUGAUCUUAAGAGAAAUUCUAUAUAUACUAAAACCCAAUGCAACUAAACACUGUAGCUAAGCACAGUAAAAUUAUGAAAAUGCCUCUAUUUAAAACUGUACAGCCAGCUUUUCCUCUCCUUUUGCACAGUAAAAUUGCCAUUUUGCCCUUGACUGAUUGUUCUGUAUUUUUCCCGUUUUGCCCUCUCUUUCCUUGGGAUGUAACUAGCUGUUGUUUAGGGCUGAGAGGUGUCUGAUUGGAUUUCAACUAGCUGGUUGGAGAGCUACAGGGGUAAAAUGGGAGAGCUGUUGGUUCUUUACUGUUUAAAUCUGGAGGGUUCCACUGUUUUACAGAACCACCUUUUUUCCCACCGAAUUGCUUGCCUUCUUCGUUUCCAUUCUUCUCAUCUUCCUCUGCUCUUCCAAAGUGCUCACUUUCCAGCUCCCUUGGGUUCUAUCAAGAAGGGGAUUAAAUCUUACAGAUUCGCUGAGGUAUUUCCAGCGUUGUUAUUCUUAAUUUUUUUACUCAAUUGUCAAUUAAUUUUUCUACUCAAUUGUCAAUUAAUUUUUCUGACUUCUCUGUUCUCCCACCAAAGCAAUAUAUCACCACUGGUCUGAGAAAAACAGAGUGUAGUUUGUGAGAGAUGAUGCAAAGCCCAUUAAAUUGGUGACACAAACCAAACUUACAGCUAACAUUGGUGACAUAAACAGAUCAGUCAAAGCAUAAAAACCAAGUUUUUUUCACAAAAACAAGAGCAGAGAAUUUAUUUCUGAAAACAAAAUCCAUCAAGCACACACCUCUAAUUUGAAGCCUCUUCCACUGUCACUGAUCAAAUGGGUUUUACCGACUAACCUCCUUAAACAAAGCACCGUGUGUUGAGCUAGAGACUGGUAUAGCUGGUGGACGGGAAGGGCUCUGCCCAAAGAAGAAGAUUUCCUUCAAAUGGUAGACAACCAUGAAAUAGGCUAUUCCAGAUUUGGCCAGCAACCAUGCCUCAGCUCAACAAACCCAAUUAGAAAGAAAGAGAUUUUAUAGAGAGAAGUGAAGUGCAUGGGUCUCUCUGUUUAUGUGUGCUUCUGUGUGUGUGUGUGUGUGUGAGAGAGAGAGAGAGAGAGAGAGAGAGAGAGAGAGAGGCGUGUAAGAGGCUUUUGAGUUUUGUUUUUGUGCACACAACAUAGAGUGAGCUGGAGAGAUGGGUCAAGAGGUGAUGAGUACGACAACAUUGUACUUUUCUUUUGUUGGGUCUAUCUCAGCAUUGAACUUUUGUUUUGUUGGGUCUAAAUCAUUAUACUAUUCUUUUUUAGUUGUGUUUGUGUCGUAGCCAAAAGUUACCUUAUUCUUCUCUCAUUAAAAUUCCAUAAAAUGCUUGAACAAAACCAAUCAGGUUUCAACAAAAUAGAAAUUGGCAAUGAUUUUAUCUUAACCUCUAUUGGUUUUCUUUGGGGUUCUCAGGAAACAUUUCACUUGAUUUCUUGACUUGGUGGGCUUGAUUGAUUAUGAGUUUUGAGUCAAAUGUGCUCAUUGUGCAUAUCUGUUUAACUAGGCUUGAUAUUAAUAUAUGCAUAUUGUUUGAUCGUUAUAGAAUUCAGUUAAUUCUUUGAUAUAAUAAUAGAUAUUUGUAAUUGUGAAGUUGUUUACACAAAACUAAAUUUAUGUUGGUGUUAAAAAUAUAAGCAGGAUUUCAUAUAGUGAUGAAAAUUUUGUCAUCUUUUUCUCAUCCUGUGAUAACCUAUAUUUCUCUAAAAAUGUGAUUCGAUCCAAAUAUAAUUCAAUUAUUUGUUUAUUUCACAGCUUGAAUACACUAAAAAGCAAGGGACUAGACAUUUGCAUUCUGCUGUCAUUUUCGAGGUAUAAAAACUCCUCUAAUUCAUUGUUUUUUUAAAUUGAGCAUUAUUAGUCAUGUUAGUCAAUUGAUUUUAAUUAUUUUGUAAGAUUUUAUAUUUUAUUUUCAUCGAUUAUGCUUGCAUACAAGUUAUUUAGAAGUAAUCUUUAUUUUGUUGAUUGAUACAAGUUGGAUAUGCUUUAUUGCUAAAAAUUUUCUCCUCUUUUAAAUAUUUUCCCUUUGAUGUUCUCAUUGAACAUUUUAUCUAAAUCAUUAAUCUGGUGAACUUGGUUGAUUAUAAAUUUUGAGUUCAAUGUCUCAAUUGUACAUAUGGAUUUAACAAGGCUUUAUAUUAAUAUAUAUAUAUAUAUAUAUACUGUUCAAUCAUUAUGAACCGAAGUUGGUUGUCUGAUAAAAUAAUAGAUAUCUAGAAUUGUUAUAUUAUAUUUUAAUUUUUAUUCUUCUGCAGCUGUGUCUUUCUACAAAUAUAUUUUGAUCGAAUAAAAAUUAGUAUCUUUGCUUUGUAAUCAUGAUACAGUGAUAUAAAACAAUUUCGUACUAUGUACUUUCUUUAUAAUAUGUAUGCAUGUAUGUAGAUACACACACAUAUCCGAUCCAAAUAUAAUUCAAUCAUUUGUUUAUUUCACAGCUUGGAUACACCAAAAAGUAAGGGACUAGACAUUUGGAUUCUGCUAUCAUUUUCGAGGUAUAAAAACUCUUCCAAUUCAUUGUUUUCUAACAUUAACCAAUAUUAGUCAUCUUAAUCACUUGAUUUUAAUCAUUUUGUAAGAUUUUUUUAUUUUAUUUUCAUCGAUUGUGCUUGCAUACAAGUUAUUUACAAGUAAUCUUUAUUUUGUUGAUUGAUACAAGUUGAAUAUGCUUUGAUGCUAAAAUUUUCCCCCGUUUUAAAAUAUUUUCCCCUUGAUGUUCUCAUUAAGCAUUUUAUUUAAAUUAUUAAUCUGGUGAGCUUGGUUGAUUAUAAAUUUUCAGUUAAAUGUCUCAACUAUACAUAUCGGUUUAACAAGGCUUUAUAUAAUACAUAUAUAAUGUUUAAUCAUUAUGAAACAAAGUUAGUUGUUUGAUAAAAUAACAGAGAUUUAAUUGAUGUAUAAAAUUAAAUACUUUUGCUUUAUCAAUUUAAUUAUUUGGAUUUGAACCUAUUAACAAAAACUGUUCUUCUACUUAUGUAUUUUAGGUUGUUGCUAUCAUCUUGCUUUUGCAUACGUGUUGCUACAAGUGCUUAACAAAUUCUCUCAUUACAGAUCAGUAUUUUCUAACUUUUCAAAAAAACUGUGCAUAUCAUUUAUAACUAAUUGAUUAGCAAAUAUUAUAUCAUUUGAAGAUUUUCAUUUAUAUAAUUCUAUCAUCAUAUUUCUACAUUUAUUUUGCAUUCUUAGAAUUUAAAUGUUAUUAAUAAUGUGAAAUAUUACUUAUAUAUAUAUGUUUUUUUUUUUCUAGAUAUCAAUCUGUUUUUGGGAAAUUGAAAUCUUCGUUGAUAAUGUCGAAGAGAACUAGAAAACAAAUCAUGCAAGAACCUCAUAAUCUCAUCAUUUCAAAUGAUAUACAAGUCCCAAAUAAAAAUGUUUCUCAUAUUAAUGAUAAACAUCCAAGCGAGAAAAUUCUCAUCAACAGUGAUCAAAACAUUUCUCAAGCUGAUAACAAAAGACAAAAAUGUGUUGAAAGUACAUCAUCUAUCAAUGUGAAUACAGUUGAAACAGCAAUAGAUGAAAUUGAAUUUCAUCGUUUUAAUCAAAUGAGUAAAGGUCAAGCGAUCUUUCAAAGAAAUAGGCAAGGUGGGUGUUUCCCUUUGCUUCAAAAUUUUCUACUAAACUUGAACUACAUUGUUCUAUUACUAAUAACCUACAUUUAUGUUUUCUAUUCUCUCCAUUCUACACCCCUAUAGAAUAAUCUAAGAAUAUGCAGAUUUUGGAGAGAAGAAUCAUAAGUGCAUUUAUUGUGGUGCACUUUUUUGGUUACAAGAAUCCAUUAAACAAAGAUCUAAAAACAAUGAGCCUCUCUUUACUCUUUGUUGCCAACAAGGAAAAAUUAAACUUCAAAGUCCAAAACCAACACCCUGUUUUUUAGAAAAUUUGCUUGAUCCUAAUAAAGGGAAAAAAAGUGUAUUAUUCAGAGAAAAUAUCAGGGUUUACAAUUCUAUGUUUGCAUUUACUUCAAUGGGAGCCAAAAUUGAUAAAUCAAUUAACAAUGGAUCAAGCCCUUAUGUUUUCAAAAUCAGUGGUCAAGUUCAUCAUUUAAUGGGUUCUUUACUACCUCCUGAGGGUCAAUGUCCUAAAUUUUCCCAACUUUAUAUAUAUGAUACCCAUAAUGAGGUUAUGAAUCGGCUUGAUGCAGUUAAUUGUAAUAAAAAAAAAAUGAAAAGCUAGAUCAAAACAUUGUGGACAGUUUAAUUCAAAUGUUUGAUCAAACAAAUGAAUUGGUUAAACUUUUUCGAACAAUUAGAGAUAAAUUUGAAAAAGGUUCUCUUCCUCCUCUAAAGAUCACAUUGUUAGGCAGGCAAUCCAAUGAUAGCAAACAAUAUGAACAAUCAACAUGUGAUGAAAUUGGUGGUUUAAUAGUGGGAGAUAUAGGCCUUUUUGAUUCAAAUAGAGAUAUUAUAAUAGAAUUUAAAAGUGGAGAGUUAAAACGUGUGACAAAAUUAAAUCCAAAAUUCAUGUCUUUACAAUAUCCUCUUCUUUUUCCUUUUGGUAAAGAUGGGUAUACACCUGACUUAAAAUGGCAUUGUACAAACCAUGAAUCUAAACGAAGAAGAAUUUCUAUGAGAGCUUUUAUAGCUUAUCAAAUACAAGAAAGAGAGUUUCAAUUCGAUACAUUAUUAAAAGGUGGAAGAUUGUUCCAACAAUUUUUAGUAGACGCUUAUGCAACACGUGAAGAAGAUCGAUUAGAUUAUAUUAGGAAAAAUAAAAAAAAUUUAAGAAGUGAGGUUUAUAAAGGCAUUUAUGAUGCAAUUUCAAAGGGUGAUAAUGAUGCUAAUAAUGUAGGUCAAAGAAUGAUAUUACCUAGCUCAUAUACUGGAAGUGCUAGAUACAUACUUAACAAUUAUCAAGAUGCUAUGGCAAUUUGUAGAAAAUAUGAAAAUCUUGAUUUAUUUAAAACUUUCACCUGCAAUGUUAAAUGGCCCGAAAUUGUAAGAGAGUUUAAUGCAAAACCUGGAUACAAACUAGAAGAUCGGCCUGAUAUAGUUUCAAGAUUAUUUAAAAUAAAACUUGAUGAUAUGAAUAAUUAUAUCAAAUCAGGAGAACCUUUUGGAGAAAUCGAAGCAUGUAUAUUUAAAAACACACCAUUUAUACUACUCUCCAUUUUUAUCAUUUUAUUAAAUAAUAAAACUAACUAAGAAUUUUUUCCCUUUUUUCACCCAAUCAACACAGAUGUUUGUACUGUCGAAUUCCAAAAAAGAGGAUUGCCACAUGCUCACAUGUUGAUUUGGUUAAAACAAAAUUAUAAAUAUUAUUCAGCAGUUGANNNNNNNNNNNNNNNNNNNNNNNNNNNNNNNNNNNNNNNNNNNNNNNNNNNNNNNNNNNNNNNNNNNNNNNNNNNNNNNNNNNNNNNNNNNNNNNNNNNNNNNNNNNNNNNNNNNNNNNNNNNNNNNNNNNNNNNNNNNNNNNNNNNNNNNNNNNNNNNNNNNNNNNNNNNNNNNNNNNNNNNNNNNNNNNNNNNNNNNNNNNNNNNNNNNNNNNNNNNNNNNNNNNNNNNNNNNNNNNNNNNNNNNNNNNNNNNNNNNNNNNNNNNNNNNNNNNNNNNNNNNNNNNNNNNNNNNNNNNNNNNNNNNNNNNNNNNNNNNNNNNNNNNNNNNNNNNNNNNNNNNNNNNNNNNNNNNNNNNNNNNNNNNNNNNNNNNNNNNNNNNNNNNNNNNNNNNNNNNNNNNNNNNNNNNNNNNNNNNNNNNNNNNNNNNNNNNNNNNNNNNNNNNNNNNNNNNNNNNNNNNNNNNNNNNNNNNNNNNNNNNNNNNNNNNNNNNNNNNNNNNNNNNNNNNNNNNNNNNNNNNNNNNNNNNNNNNNNNNNNNNNNNNNNNNNNNNNNNNNNNNNNNNNNNNNNNNNNNNNNNNNNNNNNNNNNNNNNNNNNNNNNNNNNNNNNNNNNNNNNNNNNNNNNNNNNNNNNNNNNNNNNNNNNNNNNNNNNNNNNNNNNNNNNNNNNNNNNNNNNNNNNNNNNNNNNNNNNNNNNNNNNNNNNNNNNNNAAGAUGUGGAAACCUAGCAACGAGAAUCCGAUCCCUUGGCAGAAUAGCUUAUGUACAUCCUGCAUCUGGUGAAUUAUAUUAUUUAAGAAUGCUUUUGAAUUUGCAAAAAGGGGCUUUUCACUUUAAUGACCUAAAAACUAUUAAUGGUAUUAUAGAACCAUCAUACCAAGCUGCAUGUAAAUCCCUAGGUUUGUUAGGAGAUGAUAAAGAAUGGAUUGAAGCCUUAGCAAAUGCUGUAAACACAGCCACAUGUCCUCAAUUAAGGCAAUUAUUUGUCACAAUCAUUUUAUUUUGUGAUGUAGGAAAUCCUCAAAUCCUUUUUAACACUUAUUGGCAAAAUAUGUCUGAAGACAUUUUACACAAAUUACGACAAACUUUCGAAAUGCCAAAUCUAAUUGUAUCAGAAUCAGAAUUAAAAAAUUCUCUUUUAUUUGAAUUAGAACAGCUUUUCAAUGUAUCUUCCAGCUCUUUAAAAGAGCAUCACCUUCCUAUGCCUGAUGAAUAUAGAAUGUUAGAACUUAGAAAUAAAUUGCUUAGAGAAGAAUUAAAUUAUGAUUAUAAUAAUUUAGAAAAAGAACACUCCAUUUUAGUUACACAACUUAACAAAGAUCAAAAAGAUGUAUAUGAUUGUGUUGUAAAAACUAUUGAAGAAAAAAUACCAGGUCUUUUUUAUGUCCACGGUCAUGGAGGAACAGGGAAAACUUUUUUGUGGCAUACUAUAAUAAGUAAAAUUCGAUCCCAAGGAAAUAUUGUUUUAGCUGUUGCUUCAUCAGGAAUAGCAUCAUUAUUAUUACCUGGUGGUAGAACAGCUCACUCUAGAUUUAAAAUUCCCCUUAAUUAUUAACAAUUGCUCAACAUGUCAAAUAAAAAAAGGAACUCAUCUUGCCAAAUUAAUUGAAAAAGCUGCUUUAAUUGUUUGGGACGAAGCUCUUAUGAAUCACAAACAUUGUUUUGAAGCAUUAGAUAAAUCACUUUCUGAUAUUUUAUCACAUUUAAAUCCUUUAGAUAACAAUGUUCCAUUUGGUGGGAAACCUUUAUUAUUAGGUGGUGAUUUCAGACAAAUAUUACCAGUUAUUCCAGGAUGAACAAGAGAAGAAAUAAUAGAUGCCUCCCUCAAUAGCUCUUAUUUAUGGCCUUUUUUUAAAAUAUUCCAUUUAAAAGAAAAUAUGAGACUCUCGAAAAAUGGAUUAAACAUUGAAGAAAAACAAAAAAUAAAUGAUUUUGCUACAUGGAUUUUGCGCAUCGAUAAUGGUCAAAUUGUUGAUAUUGAUGAUCCAAAUGAUAAAGAUGCAUCUUGGAUCAAAAUUCCUCAAGAUUUACUUAUACAUUCAUACACACAUCCUAUUCAUUCCAUUUUUUUAGCAACAUACCCAAAUUUUGAAAGAAAUUUCAAUAGAUUUUACUUAUUUAAGAGAACGAGCUAUUGUAACACCUCGAAACACAACUGUAANNNNNNNNNNNNNNNNNNNNNNNNNNNNNNNNNNNNNNNNNNNNNNNNNNNNNNNNNNNNNNNNNNNNNNNNNNNNNNNNNNNNNNNNNNNNNNNNNNNNNNNNNNNNNNNNNNNNNNNNNNNNNNNNNNNNNNNNNNNNNNNNNNNNNNNNNNNNNNNNNNNNNNNNNNNNNNNNNNNNNNNNNNNNNNNNNNNNNNNNNNNNNNNNNNNNNNNNNNNNNNNNNNNNNNNNNNNNNNNNNNNNNNNNNNNNNNNNNNNNNNNNNNNNNNNNNNNNNNNNNNNNNNNNNNNNNNNNNNNNNNNNNNNNNNNNNNNNNNNNNNNNNNNNNNNNNNNNNNNNNNNNNNNNNNNNNNNNNNNNNNNNNNNNNNNNNNNNNNNNNNNNNNNNNNNNNNNNCCAUGUUAUGCAAUGACAAUAAAUAAAAGUCAAGGCCCAAUCAUUAAACAAGUUGGAUUAUAUCUUCUCAACCUGUAUUCACUCAUGGACAACUUUACGUUGCAUUAUCCAGGGUUACAUCAAAACAAGGUCUUAAAAUCUUAAUAGAAAAUAAUCAAGAAGUACCAAAUAAUUACACUAAAAACAUAGUGUAUAAAGAUGUUCUUCAAAAUUUAUAAUGAAGUUCCAAUUUUGAUGUAUCCAUAAUUAAAUAUUUGUAUAUUUUUUUCUCAUGCCUUUUAAUAUAUAUAUGCAUGCAUUUUUAUGCUAACAAAAAAUUUACAGGUUUAAAGCACAAUGAGUUUCACUUAUAUCCGUGAUUUACAACCGUUCCAAUUUAACAAGAAACUCAAAGUGCGUAUUUACAGAAUGUGGCGACCAAAACUUAUUGGAUCUACUGAUCAAUUUGACGGCCUUCAGUGUAUCUUGGUUGACCAAAAGGUAAGAAAAUCUCUUUUCUAUGUUAUUUCAAUUUAAUUAUAAUAACACCACUUAAAGAAACCCUUUGUUUAAUAUCUGUUUCUAUUGAGCUCCCUUAGUUUUUGGUGGAUAUUGGCGUGUCAGUGUGUGUUCUUCCUAUUAUUGAUAUUGAACCCAUUUUUCUAGGAGGCCAUAACCAUAUAAAGCAGGUAUAAAUUUAGUCAAAAUGCUUCUGUAGAGGAUCUAAAUAAUUAACAAUAUUGCGGUAAACUGUGUUAUCUAUGGGCUUUGUUAGAUCUAGAUUCAUUAUAUAUAGUCUACUUACUUUUUUAUUUUUUAUUUUUUUAAAAAUGAAUGUAUUAUCAUAUAUUUGUAUUUCCUUCCUUUUAAAUAUAAUUUCCCCAUAUUAAUUUUCCUCUUCCUCUNNNNNNNNNNNNNNNNNNNNNNNNNNNNNNNNNNNNNNNNNNNNNNNNNNNNNNNNNNNNNNNNNNNNNNNNNNNNNNNNNNNNNNNNNNNNNNNNNNNNNNNNNNNNNNNNNNNNNNNNNNNNNNNNNNNNNNNNNNNNNNNNNNNNNNNNNNNNNNNNNNNNNNNNNNNNNNNNNNNNNNNNNNNNNNNNNNNNNNNNNNNNNNNNNNNNNNNNNNNNNNNNNNNNNNNNNNNNNNNNNNNNNNNNNNNNNNNNNNNNNNNNNNNNNNNNNNNNNNNNNNNNNNNNNNNNNNNNNNNNNNNNNNNNNNNNNNNNNNNNNNNNNNNNNNNNNNNNNNNNNNNNNNNNNNNNNNNNNNNNNNNNNNNNNNNNNNNNNNNNNNNNNNNNNNNNNNNNNNNNNNNNNNNNNNNNNNNNNNNNNNNNNNNNNNNNNNNNNNNNNNNNNNNNNNNNNNNNNNNNNNNNNNNNNNNNNNNNNNNNNNNNNNNNNNNNNNNNNNNNNNNNNNNNNNNNNNNNNNNNNNNNNNNNNNNNNNNNNNNNNNNNNNNNNNNNNNNNNNNNNNNNNNNNNNNNNNNNNNNNNNNNNNNNNNNNNNNNNNNNNNNNNNNNNNNNNNNNNNNNNNNNNNNNNNNNNNNNNNNNNNNNNNNNNNNNNNNNNNNNNNNNNNNNNNNNNNNNNNNNNNNNNNNNAGCCUGAAAGUUAAACAAUUUCAAGGUAUCCAAUUUAUUUUCACUUUUUCCUAUUAUUUACACUUCAUUUCAAAUAAAAACAAAUCUAAUUUAUUAUUUAUCAAUAUGUAGGGAAAAUUGUUCUCAACAGUAGUGUCUCCACAUUAAUUUUUAUCAAUCCAGAUGUACAAGAAUUGGCGGCCUACAAAACGAUGUAUGAAUUUUUAUCAUUUUUGUUUUAACAUAUACCUUUGUUUCCCCAUUUUUCUAAAUUAACACCUCUUUUUUAUUAUAUAAAAAUAACAAUAACCACAGCUUUAAUGACUCUACACAUGCCAUUAAAAUGAUGCCUUCUUCCGCCACUCAACUAAUGACACCUCAACAUUAAGAAGCUGCUAAAAAACUAUCUGUCCAAGAGUUAAAUGUUCUUGAUCCAAAGACACAUAAGGUAAAUACACUAACUUCUUUCUUUAAUCUCUUUAUUAUUCAUAUUUUAACAUACAAUUUCACAAAUUAUUUAAACUAAAUUUCACUUUAUUCUUCUCUUAGCGCUAUAUAUUUUAUAAUUGUUUUUGCUAUAUUAAUAUAUAUUUUUUAAAUAUAUUUUAGGACACUCCCAUUUUAUGCAAAACAGCUAUUACGCGUUUUGACACACGUAACGGUUGGUGGUAUAAAGCAUGUCCAUCUUGCUUUAAACAACUUAGAACUGCUGCCCACCGUGAUGAACUUUUGUGCCCAAAACACAAUAAUCAAAUUCCUCUCCCUUGGUAAUACAAAUCUCAACAAUUUGUUUCAUUUUAUUUUUCCAUAAAAUUUAAACACAAUUAUUUUAAUUAUUAAAACAUUACAUAAAUUUUACAUACAGGUUCAAAGUGAGCUUGGUGCUUGAAGAUUCAACUGAUGAAACCAAUGCAAUCAUAAUUGGAAGACCAGCAGAACAGUUGUUUAGAAUUUCUUGCAAUGAAUUGGUUGUUCAAAGAGGUUUAAUCGACCAACAACAAUUGCCAGAUGCAAUUCUGCAAACAAGAGGACAAGUUAAAAAUUUUCAACUUCGAUUUGGGAGCAUGAGAGGUGAUUUCAAUAGAAAUGAUCUACUCAUUCAAGCAAUCUUCGAUGACACAAUGCCACUUCUUGAACCAACAUCGCAAUCAUCUGACAAAAGUUUGGCUGCACAUGAUACAGAAAACAUUGGUACCCAAAUGGUUCCACCCAUUACCCCACUUCUCUCAAAGCAAAUUCCAAGUGCAUCUUCCACAAGCUCAGCUGAUGCUUCUAUAACAGAAGCUACCCCAAUUUCAAAAAAAAACAUACAUAGACGCUGUCAAAAGAGCUCUCUUUACCUUUCGUCCAUCAAAAAAACCAAACAGGUUAGAAUUUAUAUAAUAAUUAACUCCUUUAUAUCAAUAUUUACGCAUAUUCUAACAUUUACCAAUAUAUUUCUUUCUUUUCCAUUUAGCAUUUCUUUAAGUCAUGUUCAAACCGAAAACGAAUCUGAAAACAUGGUUGCAACAAAAAGCAUGGAGGAAAUUGUAUCAAAUUCUGAUUUACCAAUCAUUGGCUUAAAGAAGAAAUCAAGCAUGGAGAGUUUGGCAACCAGUACUCCUACCCCGAAAUUAGAGUUUGUAUUCUCUAAUUCACUCAUCUCAUUUAAAUACAUAUUACAUGCAUAAUAUUCAAUUAUUCAUACCUUCUGUCAUAUUCUGAUUGAUGCUUUGUUUUAAUAUAUUAUAAGAUUAUCUCUACUUAUUAUAUAGGUGUAAAAACCAUUUAACCACUAUUGAAUUAAGUAUAAAUGAAAUUUUUGCAUGCUGAAUGUUUGGAAAUACUAUUAAAUUGUCAUAUUUACAGGUGAAUUUUUUUGGAAAAUUUCCGUUUUUCAGGGGAGGUUCUGCCCGUUUUUCAACAGAAAUGUCAAGCCCUUAAGUAAUUUUAACUCCAAAUAAGGGCAAAAGAGUCAUAUGUUCCUAAUACAUAAGAGAAUUAAAAGCCUAAACAUUAUAUUUACAUCCUUUUUUUCAAUUUUUCUUCAAUAUAUCCAACCAUGAUUAUUUUACCUCUCUUCAACUUUUCCUUUAGAUAAACACAGAAUUUAAAAUAUGUUUACUUUGUGUUACUUCAAUUGGAAAACCAUCUACAGCUUGCUCAUUAGUUCUCUUAAUUUUGUUACUUUGUGUUUCCUAGAUUGGAAAACCAUUUAUAACUUUCUUAUUAAAUUGUUAAAUUAUAUUAUUCAUGUUUAUACAUAAUUAGAUGUUUAUGAUUAUUGUCCUAACUCAAUUUUCCCCAUUCAUCAACAUUAACAUUUACUAUUUUCCCACUUUUUUAUAACAGGGUCAAGACCUCCAUCAAAGAAAAGAAAAAUCAUGAAGAAAUUGCAAAACAAAAUUCGCCCAAUUAAACAGCAUGCUGGUCAAAACUAUCCAAAUUUUGCUAUUUUGAUGGCUACUUCCCACUAUUAACAUCUCAAUGUAUAUACAAACAAGUCUCUACUAUUUUAACAUAACAAGUAGCCUGUAAAAUAUGUUAUUACUUCCUUUUUGGCAACUUAUACUCCCUUAGUUAAACAUAAUGCUACAAGUUAAAUCUCAUUGUAUAUAUAAACAAUCUUACUUUGUCUACGUAAUUUCAAAACCCGCAGCAUCGCACGGGCUUUUCUGCUAGUACAACUGUAAGAGCUUUAACAGGAACAGAGCUGCCUUCCAUCCCUGAAUUGUGAUUAAACCAAUGCUCAAGGUGAAGAUAGGAACCUCACCCUAUUCGGAAGCUCUUCCAUCCCCAACCCCUUUUAAUUGUCGAGAACCCUCCUAUUCCUCCCCUUCUGAUGUUAGCCAACUCACUCCAGCCUUCCUGAAUAAUACAUACCACAAAUUUGAGAUACUGGUCUACAUUCUCCCUGGUUUAUUUUGCUUCCCCAUUGUUCUAAUAGAUAACACCCUUGCCUUCUCAUCUGGUUUACUCAUUUGCCAGAGUGUUAGGAAUGAAGACCAGAAGGCCGGUGUCCAGAUUUUCCUCAUCUCAAGGACCUGACUUUAGACAAGUGUCUGAAGCUAAGAGGAAGCUUGCCUUCUCAUCUUACUUGCUUGAAAGACUUAGCUUGUCAUCCGGGUGUGGGGUUCUACAUGAUGAAAGGGCCAGUACUACUUGUAACAUGGAAUAAUGUCUUUGAAGAAUUAGAAAUAUAUGAUGGAUGCCCAGGUCUGUUCUCGUUACUGUUCGUGCUCCUAUUUGAUACGAUGCCAUUUCCAAUUCAAAAACUUUUCAGGUAUGUUAAGAAAGUAUUACACAACUAGAUGUUUAUGAUUCAAAUUCAAAACAAAGCACAAAUUGGAUUCAUAUAAAUCUACCUAAUUGCCGCGCCAUUGAUUGUAACAAUUGAUAAUUGAAUAUGCAUCUUUCAGUGUCGUCCCCUUUAAGUUUUUAGCGUAUCAAUUAGUCUCUAUCAUCUCUAUUUUCUUGUACAUUACAUACUUGUUGGUUGGAAAUUAGUUUUCAGAAGCUACAUGAGUUGGGGUUAACUAGAGAAAUUAGUUUGUUCAUAUUCUGUCGGUCCUUUUCUGUGCCUUUCACAUCCGAAAGGUUUGCUUUCUGCAAUUAUUCGAACUACAGUUCCAUUUCAUUAGAAUUUUUUUUCUUUGUUGUAUCUCUAGACUCUCUGCGUAAGAUUCCCAAUGGGAACUACCCCAACUUGACCCAAUUUGGCAUGGAUUUUGUAUUUUGAGAUUUCAAGCUAACUGCUGCUAAUGGAAGCCCUCCUUCUUUCACUUGUUAAUUCUUAGGGAAUAACAAUUUUACAUUCUAUUUACAUUUACAACUGAAGAAAACUAAAGCGCAUUGCAUGCUCUUUUAUGGUAGAAUGACCUUAUCAUCUUCCUACAAACUCGAGAAAUGCAUGCUCUGAUGUGUUGAAGUUGAAGAUUUCGAGAAAGAAUGAAAGCUGUAGCAGAAAACAUAGGGCUGAGAUCUCUCCAAGGCAUUGCUCCACUCUCUCACAAUCUCUGUUCCUUGUAUUAUGAAGCUUACAGGAUUACUCAUUACUGACCAUCAUCACAUGAUCUUGUAGGUGAUUGUGGGGAGGUUUGCCAAUUGACCUUGUGAAAUCAAAAAAGAAAAGUGAGUUUGCUUUUUUAUAUUUGAAAGUUGGCACCUUUGUUUAUAUUCUUUGCACUAGACCGUUGCUCAGAACCAUCCAUCUUAAUCUUUCUGAUCAUUUACAAGGUCCCUGAAAUUGGUACAUAGGUGACGAGGGGUAAAUUUAAAAGAUAUUCAAUCAAGAACGUAACAACCUUCACACUCUAGACCUUGACCAAAUACUCUUAUGACUAGUCAACUGUUAGAUAUGAAUUAUACUAAACAAUAACAUACACAGAGCAUACCAAGAUGUACCUGCAGGCCUAGAGAAUUACUAGUGACAACCUAGGCACUCAGAAGGACCCAUCAAUCUAGGCAUCCUCUGUGCUAGCAACAACUAUGGUGAAAGUGUGUGAAGACAACAUAAUCAAGCAAACACCAAACAGCAGAAAAAGAUGACUAGUCAACCGCACAAAUUCAGAUGACUGGUCAACUAUCAAGAACACAAACCCAGAAAAUUUACAGAGAUGGAAACCAGAAAUUGUUCACCCAGAAACCCACCAUUGGGAAAAACUGGGGGUCAUCAACCGACCAGGCAAUCCACUAAGUAGAAAAAGAUUCUUACAAAGGAACACAAGCAAGCUCAAGCAAAACCUAGAUCUAUUUAGGAAGAUGAGCAAUACCUCCUUUGUGCAAUCUUCUUCUCCAACUUAGCAAAGCUUGAAGCUCAGUUCUUCAUGGCAAUGGCAGCUCCUCCAGCUCUUUCAUCCCAUGGCACUAGCUUGCAAGCUCUAACUCAGACAGAAAUGAAAUUUGGAUUCAUGGAGAAAAUGACCAAUUUCUUCAAGAAAACAUACUCUUGAAGAAAUCAAUCUUGAAUCUGACCUAGAUGUAUAUGAUAGAGUGUUUGAUCUAGCAAGAAGAAGUUUUCAUAUUUCAAAUGUAGUUUUCAAAAAGAAACAAUUUGGAAAACUCAAAGAUGAAAAAAAUGAAGGUCACUCUUGAGGAAGAAGAAGCGAAAGUUUGCUAUGAAACUUUCCAAAACUCCUCCCCAAAAGUGACGGCUUCCCAAAGAGGAAUCACAAGGCCUUUACAGACCAAAAAUUCCCUUAGGUUAGAAUCCCAUGUGGCAGCCAAGAGAUAAAAAAGAAUAGGACAAAAAAGUUGUUUAUCAAGCUGGAGAGCAAGGAUGACUAGUCAUCCAAGAAACAGAUGACUAGUCAUCAUUUUAUGAAAACAGUAUAAUGCAAUGUUAUGCAAUGCACAAUUUACCUUUGCCAAUUUGCAUGAACCUCCAUAUGAUAGUUGUUAGUUAAGAACACCUAGAGAAGCUAUUCUCAAUCUAAACUUGAGCUUGAUAAAUAACAAUAGAAAUCCUAUUACAAAGUUGUCAAGGGAAGCCAAAAGAAAAACCCAAAAUGCAUACAUUAACAGUCCCUUGACGGCAGUGGAAGGGGCACAUGUUUUUUACUGAAGGGAUACUUAACGACAGCAAUAAACUUAACAUCCUUAUUAUAUGCAGACAGUUCAUUUGUGUUUGGAGGGGCGGCCUUCAUCUGAUCUGACCACAUGGAAAAGCUCUCUUUGUGUUGAUGAAGAAUUCUUCAUCUCAAACAAGAUAAAACUGAUGUUAAACCCUGGGGGCCACGUCUUCGUUUGGUUUUCUUGCAAGAAACUGAUGAUAAACUGAUGUUAGUGCUCGUAUUGAAAGAUUAUAGCUUUGUCUAUGAAUUCUUCAAGGACAGCCAGUCUGAUACUGAUUGUUGUUUCCAACAAAAGCUUUGUCUCUACACAUUAUAGCUUAUUCGUCGAAUGUUACAUAUAUUCAAUGUUUCCAUACAUUUCCAGAAUUUUGACAAGCAAACGGUCAUUCAUUGAAGUUCAAUAUGAAAUCUUCUGAGGUUGUCUAUGCAAUGGGAUAAGCUGCUCAUGUUAUGACCCUUCUCUUCCUAGUUCCCAUGACAAUCACAAUAUUAUGCCUCCACUUAAGCAAAUUAGAAGACACUUCGGAGUUCGGAUAUUAAAAGUAGAAUGCUACAUGCACAACUCAUCAUAAAAUCUCUCUUAAAAAUUUUGAGCGUUAACAAGUAAAUAAACAUUCACUCACAUUUUAUUUGCACUUAAAAAUUAAAAUUGUUGUGCAUGGAACUAAAUUGACACUGAUUUUAUUUUAUACCUUCUCUUUCUUAUUUCCAUGAGUGAAUUUAUGUUUUGCUUGCUAAUGCUCAACAAUUUUAAGACAAAUGCUCUAUGAUUAUGCCUCAGUUUUAAUUUGUCAUCUUAAUUUUUCAAAAUCCAUGAUUUGUCUUUAAGACCAUCCAAUUUUCCAUAUAUUUUAAGGGUAUUUUAGUCUUUAUAUUUUCAAGGGUAUUUUAAACAUGGAAAAUUCAUUAUAACACAAAUUGUAUAUCUUUUAAACAAUUAAAAUUGGAAAAGAAAAAAAAAUUGCCUUCCCCCAUCCCUUGUGUGUUGACCAGGCAACAUUGUACACGACUCGUUAACACGACACGAAUUCGAAAAAAAAAAAUUCAUUUUUCGGGUAUGAGUUAUCGGGUCGUGUUGCUAUCGUGUUGACCCGUUAGCCACAUGAUAAGCUAACGGGUCGUUUCAUGUUCAUUCGCGAAAACACGAAUCAACCCGUUAAGCGAGUGUAUUUUUGUAAUUUUCUAGCAUUCUGCGUUCAUUACUCUUCAUCCCGCCUCCAUUUCUACUAGGUUUUCAUUUUCAUAUUGUUUGUUUUGUCAAUAAGCUCAUUUCUGUCCAAAUUUCAAUUUUUUCUGACUUUUUGCUGGUGGGUUUUGCAAAUUCUUUACAAAGAUGAAUGAUUUUAUGACUAAAUUGUUCUUAAGUUAUGUGGAAUUGAAGAAACAGGGACAGAAGGACCUCGAAGCCGAUCUUGAUGUUGAAGGAGGCCAAGGCAAACCAACUCAGCCUGUCAGACCAAGAAAAUCUCUCUUAGUUUUUCCAAGAAGUCAUAGCAAUCAAGAGCGAAAUGGAAGAGAUAACUAAAGACUUGUAUGAUCUUCAGAGUUUUAAUAUUUUAUUAUUUCAGUUUUUUAAAAUUAUUUUUAAAUUUUUUUAUUAUUAUUAACAGGUGAAACGGGUUGUGUCGUGUUGUGUGAUUUGCAAAUUGUAAUGGGUCGUGUUCGUGUUUGACAUUUUCAGCUCGUUUUCUUAUCGUGUCGUGUUGUGUCAACCCGUUAAGAAAAGCGAGUUGACACGAAAACGACACGUACAUUGCAAAAACGACAUGAAUGCCAAGUCUACUUGUGCCAUCAUUGGUUUCCUACAACCAAAAAGGUUCAUUCCUAUAUGCCAUCAUUGUGGCACAUUAGGACACAUUAGACCAAAGUGUUUUGAUUUUAGGAAUUUUGAGCAAAAGCCUUUUGUUCAUUUCAAGAAAGUAAAUGAUGACUCACUUCAAACUCAAGUGAAUGAUUUUCUUUAUAAAGUUGUCAAAAUUCCUAAGGUUAUCUCUUUGCCUCAUAAAGUCUCAAAAGUGAAGCAAGUUUGGAUCAAGAAGGAAGACCAUGUUCUUCCUCAUGUUGGUGACUAGUUUCUUUAUUUUAUGUAUCUAGACCAUUCUCUUAUUUGUGUGUGCUUCAUGGAGUCUAGAUACAUUGUCAUGCAUUUGCACCUUGUUCUUUUGUUUUAUUAUUUUUAAAUGUGGUCAUUGCAUGCAUAUCUUUCAAUCAUCUCUCUCACAGUGCUUUGAAUCUUGGGUGAUCAACAAAAUUUCAUGUUCUUUUGAACUUGUUCACAUUUAUCUUGUUGGUCUUGUCCAAACAUUUUCCCUAAAUGGCAAGGAAUACAUCCUAUCCAUUGUAGAUGACUUCUUUGGGUUUAUUUAGAUCUCACUCUUGCUUGAAAAAUCAGAGACCUUUCAAAGGUUUAAAUCUGUCUACCAUCUUUUACAAAAAGUUAAAAUGACUAGUCAUCUGCCUCUUGUUAGAAUUAGAACAGAUCAUGGUUCUGAGUUUGAGAAUUCUCAGCUUCUGAAAUUUUGUGAGGUGAUGAGAAUUAAGCAUGAGUUCUUUGCACCUAUUACACCUCAGCAAAAUGGUGUUGUGGAGAAAAAAAAAUAGAGUUCUUGUUGAGAUGGCUAGGGUGAUGCUCAAUAGCAAAAAUUUUGCUAAACAUUUUUUGGGUUUACAUCUCAAACAGGGAGUUUUUUAGGUAUGGUGCCAAACAAACUCCCUAUGUGCUUUGGAAAGGUAAGAAACCUAAUGUGUCUUAUUUUAGAGUCUUUGGUAGCACAUGUUUUAUCUUAAGAGAUUGGGAACACCUUGCUAAGUUUGACUCUAAAAGUGACGAAGGAAUUUUUCUUGGGUAUUCCACUUCAAGCUGAGCCUAUAUAGUAUACAAUUAUAGGACCGGAACCAUCAUGUCAAUGUUGAUGACUUUGCUGCCUCUAUUGAGACGGCAUGAGAUGAGGAUGGUCUUUUAUCUUCUAUGCUUUAGGGAGAAUCUCCAGGUCUGGAUCUAGUGGUUGACCUGUCAACCUUUAGCAAAUCAGUUGACCAGUCAACUCUUGACAAUUCUGUUCCAGUUGACCUGUCAACUUGUCAUAAUCAACCUCAGAAUCUCAGCUCAUCUGUCCCUGUUGAAAACUUUCUAUAGAAGCAAGAUAGGAAGCCUUCUAUACUUGACUGCAAGUAGACCUGAUAUUUCCUAUAGUGUAUGAGUUUUGUGCUAGGUUCCAAAGUGAUCCCAAAGAGUCUCAUUUGUUUGCUGUCAAAAGAAUCAUAAAAUAUGUGAGUAGAACUUUUGAGUUUGGGUGGUAGUAUACUUGUGACACUUGUGUCAAUCUUGUUGGGUAUAGUGAUGCCGAUUGGGCAGGUUGUAGUAAUGGUAGGAAAAGCACUUCCGGGAGGGUCUUUUAUGUAGGCAACAAUCUUGUUGCUUGGCAUAGCAAAAAAUAGAAAUCUAUCUCCUUAUCCAUUGCUGAAGCAGAGUAUGUUACAUCUGGGAGUUGCUGCACUCAACUCCUUUGGAUGAGACAAAUGUUGGAAGACUAUGGUCUUGCUCAACCAUGCUUUCUAAUCUAUUGUGACAACAUGAGUGGUAUAGAUAUUUCUAAAAAUCCUGUUCAACACUCUAGGACUAAGCAUAUAGACAUUAGGCACCAUUUUAUUAGAGAUCUUGUGGAAGACAAAAUUCUAUCUUUGGAAUUUGUUCCCUCUGUGAAACAGCUAGCAGAUAUACUCAACAAGGCCUUGGACUUUCAUAAACAUGUCACACUUAGGUAGUCCAUUGGCCUUUGCUCAAUUGAUUGAUUAGCUUGUCUGUUCCUUAUCUUCAGCUCAUUGUAGAACUGUUGACUAGUCAUCUUCGUUUUAGUUGACUAGUCAAAUAUAAAUUUUUGUUUACUUGGUGUGCAAAUGUCAAAAACAUCUGUUUCUUCUGAUCUCUGAUGGUGCGAAGUUUGAUUCAUUUUAUGCUUUGCCUGAUUUGUGUAUAAUUCCCCCUUCUAGUUUGGAGCCAUUAGAUGAAAAUUUUUGGUGUUUUUAUGUCCUCUUGGUGAGACAAGUGUUGUGAUCCAUUGUGGACAAUCAUUGUUAUAAUCUCCUAUCUUAUAUCACUCUCGUAGGCAAUUUGUUUAUAAAUAAAAAAAAAGAAAAAAAAAAGAAAAAGGGAAGUGUGACCAAUGUAGUCACGACUCUAGGAAGGUAUAAGGUGAUAUGAUUGAAGAAUCUAGAGCAAGAGCCGCAAAAUUGGGCCACUUAUGCACUUAAGUCUGGGAUGUGCAAAUAAUAAACAUAAUAAAUGGCCAGAUUGAGUGAUGAAAAUCAAAUAGGUUGAGUCUAUGCUUUGAGUUUGUCUUGAAGGUUCAUUAUAUACUUGUCUCUCCAAGAAUGAUAUUUCUUCAUCUCUUGUGUUUUUCUUUUGGCUCUGAACCUCCUCUGUCCAUCUUGCCUUAUCUCUGAGCAUGAAAUCUAAUUCAUAUUCUAUCUAUCAGAGUUAGUUGCAAUUGUUUUGUUUGCACAUGUGGUUAUCUUCUCUCUCGCUUACUCACUGUGCUUGAAGACUUGGACUAGGCUAUAGUAGCUAAUACAUCGUUGAUCACUUGAUAUAUUUGCUAGUUCAUGUUUGUGUUUUUAAAAUCAAAAUCAUGUCUUCUUCAGGGUCGAUACUAAAAUUGAUGCUUGUUAUGAUAUUGCUUGAGUUCACUAGUCAACAUAUGCUCAUGCUAAUUGUGGUUGACUAGUCAUCUGCUUAACAGGGAUCUUGUGACUUUUGGUGAAAUUAAUUUUCACUCUCUAAGAACCAUGACCAUUGGUUAUGACACAAAACACAAAGGUUCACUUGUCUUCUCCUUGUCGCAUUUAUACCUUCUGUUUCAACACUGGUACUGUGUUUAUGUGUGGUCGUGUUUGGAUGAUGCCACUUUGGUCUAUGACCCUAUCUUAAUAAGUUGUGUGUCCCACAUUCAAUGAUUUAGCCUAAUAUAAUCUUGAAAUCCUUAUGAGUCUGUUGUGCUAUAUGAGUUUUGGAUUGUUGGCUAAUCUAUUUUGUUGGGGGAGUUUCUUUGAGAUGCAUGUGUUUUGGCAACAUUCUUGCUGGUUGUUUUUAUCAUUUUCAUACAUCAAUGUUGCCUUCCUAAACAACUGUUCUGCUGGUCUUCCAAAUAUGAUUGCAUUGGUUUCAUCAGUUGAAUCUUCAAGCACCAAGCUCACUUUGAACCUGUAUGUAAAAUUUAUGUAAUGUUUUAAUAAUUAAAAUAAUUGUGUUUAAAUUUUAUGGAAAAAUAAAAUGAAACAAACUGUUGAGAUUUGUAUUACCAAGGGAGAGGAAUUUGAUUAUUGUGUUUUGGGCACAAAAGUUCAUCACAGUGGGCAGCAGUUCUAAGUUGUUUAAAGCAAGAUGGACAUGCUUUAUACCACCAACCGUUACGUGUGUCAAAACGCGUAAUAGCUGCUUUGCAUAAAAUGGGAGUGUCCUAAAAUAUAUUUAAAAAAUAUAUAUUAAUAUAGCAAAAACAAUUAUAAAAUAUAUAGCGAUAAGAGAAGAAUAAAGUGAAAUUUAGUUUAAAUAAUUUGUGAAAUUGUAUGUUAAAAUAUGAAUAAUAAAGAGAUUAAAGAAAGAAGUUAGUGUAUUUACCUUAUAUGUCUUUGGAUCAAGAACAUUUAACUCUUGGACAGAUAGCUUUUUAGCAGCUUCUAAAUGUUGAGGUGUCAUUAGUUGAGUGGCGGAAGAAGGCAUCAUUUUAAUGGCAUGUGUAGAGUCAUUAAAGCUGUGGUUAUUGUUAUUUUUAUAUAAUAAAAAAGAGGUGUUAAUUUAGAAAAAUGGGGAAACAAAGGUAUAUGUUAAAACAAAAAUGAUAAAAAUUCAUACAUCGUUUUGUAGGCCGCCAAUUCUUGUAUAUCUGGAUUGAUAAAAAUUAAUGUGGAGACACUACUGUUGAGAACAAUUUUCCCUACAUAUUGAUAAAUAAUAAAUUAGAUUUGUUUUUAUUUAAAAUGUAAAUAAUAGGAAAAAGUGAAAAUAAAUUGGAUACCUUGAAAUUGUUUAACUUUCAGGCUUGUAAAAGCUGCAAAUAUUGGCGAUGUCAAUUGUUGUAAAGCUUGGGAAUCAAAAGUUUUUGCAGUAUCUCCCCACAGGGUUAUUCUAACAUCUUCUUUCCUGAAUGAUUAGAUGUGGAGAAAAAAAUAUUUAGAAAGAGAUAUAAUAGUUUAAAAUUUGAAUUAUAAACAUUUUUUGAAUAUUUGUACCUGAUAUUUUCGAUGCAGACUUCACAUUUAUCCUCAAGCCUCUCAUUGCCCACAUUUUUUGUUCCAAUGGUUGUAUUCCAGUAAUGUGUCCAAAAACAUCUUGCAAUAUGAUAAAACAAAUAUCAUAAGGAUAUUAAAAUGUGGAAAUUUUUUGGAUAAAUACUUAUUGUAUAUAUAUGCAUAGUUUUUAAUACUAUAUAGAGUAUUACCUGUUAGGAUGUCAAUUUUGUCUAUGCGAGUGGACAAUUGAGUAUAAUCUACCAGAUAAAAUCGAUAUCGUGGAAUGUGUGGGUGAAUGGUUGGUAGUUCUUUGAAAGUUGUUCUCGCAUUAAAGAACAAUUGUGCAACAUGUGGUACAACUUUGUGAGAUGGUUUGUUGCGACCAGUGUGGAAAUGUGUUAUUUCAUAAAUGGAACCAGCUUUUAUUUUUGGAAAUACAAAAUCAUAGUCGAUCUCUUUGACGCUAGCUUGUAUUACAUCUGUCUACAUAAUUGAAAAAAGAGGAAGAGAAAAAUUAAUAAGGGGAAAUUAUAUUUAAAAGGAAGGAAAUACAAAUAUAUGAUAAUACAUUCAUUUAACAAAAAUAAAAAAAAUAAAAAACUAAGUAGACCAUAUAUAAUGAAUCCAUACCUAACAAAGCCCAUAGAUAAUACAGUUUACAACAAUAUUGUUCAUUAUUCAGAUCCUCUACAGAAGCAUUUUGACCGAAUUUAUACCUACUUUAUAUGGUUAUGGCCUCCUAGAAAAAUGGGUUUAGUGUCAAUAACAGGAAGAACACACACUUACACGCCAGCAUCCACCAAAAACUAAGGGAGCUUAAUAGAAACAGAUAUUAAACAAAGGGUUUCUUUAAGUGAUGUUAUUAUAAUUAAAUUGAAAUAACAUAGAAAAGAGCUUUUCUUACCUUUUGGUCAACCAGGAUACACUGAAGGCCGCCGAAUUGAUCAUUAGAUCCAAUAAGUUUUGGUCGCCACAUUCUGCAGAUACGUACUUUGAGUUUCUUGUUAAAUUGGAACGGUUGUAAAUCACGGAUAUAAGUGAAACUCAUUGUGCUUUAAAUCUGCAAAUAAAUAUAUUUUUUGUUAGCAUAAAAAUGCAUGUAUAUAUUUAUUAAAAGUCAUGAGAAAAAAUAUACAAAUAUUUAAUUAUGGAUACAUCAAAAUUGGAACUUCAUUAUAAAUUUUGAAGAACAUCUUUAUACACUAUGUUUUUAGUGUAAUUAUUUGGUACUUCUUUAUUAUUUUCUAUUAGGAUUUUAAGACCUUGUCUUGAUGUAACCCUGGAUAAUGCAACAUAAAGUUGUCCAUGAGUGAAUACAGGUUGAGAAAGAUAUAGUCCAACUUGUUUCAAUGAUUGGCCUUGACUUUUAUUUAUUGUCAUUGCAUAACAUGGUCUAAUUGGGAAUUGGCGCCUUUUAAAAAUGAAAGGCCAUUUGUUUUCAGUUGCUGUAAGGCUUAUUCGAGGUAUGAAAACUUUGUGACCAAUGUUACUACCAGCAAGUAUUUUUGCUUCUAUAAUUUUAUCAUACAAUUGUGUAAUAACUAAUCGUGUUCCAUUACACAAACCUGAAGAUUGAUUUAAGUUUCUCAAUAGCAUGAUGGGCAUUCCUAUUUUUAAAGCUAAAUAGUAUGAAGGUAAACCAUUAAAUUCAAGUUUGUUUAAAAAUUCUGUAGGAUAUAAAAUAGUAAGGUUUUCAGAAUUUUCAGAUGAUGAGCAUAAAGAAUCUGAGCUUAAAUAAAUGCGUUCUUGUCCAGGUAAUAAAUCAAUUGCAUAGUUAUUUAUUUCAGUUACAGUUGUGUUUCGAGGUGUUACAAUAGCUCGUUCUGUUAAAUAAGUAAAAUUGUUGAAAUUUCUUUCAAAAUUUGGGUAUGUUGCUAAAAAAAUGGAAUGAAUAGAAUGUGCAUAUGAAUGUAUAAGUAAAUCUUGAGGAAUUUUGAUCCAAGAUGCAUCUUUAUCAUUUGGAUCAUCUAUAUCAACAAUUUGACCAUUACCGAUGCGCAAAAUCCAUGCAGCAAAAUCAUUUAUUUUUUGUUUUUCUUCAGUGUUUAAUCCAUUUUUCGAGAGUCUCAUAUUUUCUUUUAAAUGGAAUAUUUUGAAAAAAGGCCAUAAAUAAGAGCUAUUGAGAGAGGCAUCUAUUAUUUCUUCUCUUGUUCCUCCUGGAAUAACUGGUAAUAUUUGUCUGAAAUCACCACCUAACAAUAAAGGUUUCCCACCAAAUGGAACAUUGUUAUCUAAAGGAUUUAAAUGUGAUAAAAUAUCAGAAAGUGAUUUAUCUAAUGCUUCAAAACAAUGUUUGCGAUUCAUAGGAGCUUCGUCCCAAACAAUUAAAGCGGCUUUUUCAAUUAAUUUGGCAAGAUGAGUUCCUUUUUUUAUUUGACAUGUUGAGCAAUUGUUAACAAUUAAGGGAAUUUUAAAUCUAGAGUGAGCUGUUCUACCACCAGGUAAUAAUAAUGAUGCUAUUCCUGAUGAAGCAACAGCUAAAACAAUAUUUCCUUAGGAUCGAAUUUUACUUAUUAUAGUAUGCCACAAAAAAGUUUUUCCUUUUCCUCCAUGACCGUGGACAAAAAAGAGGCCUGGCAUUUUUUCUUCAACAGUUUUUAUAACACAAUCAUAUACAUCUUUUUGACCUUUGUUAAGUUGUGUAACUAAAAUGGAGUGUUCUUUUUCUAAAUUAUUAUAAUCGUAAUUUAAUUCUUCUCUAAGCAAUUUAUUUCUAAGUUCUAACAUUCUAUAUUCAUCAGGCAUAGGAAGGUGAUGCUCCUUUAAAGAGCCGGAAGAUACAUUGAAAAGCUGUUCUAAUUCAAAUAAAAGAGAAUUUUUUAAUUCAGAUUCUGAUACAAUUAGAUUUGGCAUUCCGAAAGUUUGUCGUAAUUUGUGUAAAAUGUCCUCAGACAUAUUUUGCCAAUAAGUGUCAAAAAUAAUUUGAGGAUUUCCUACAUCACAAAAUAAAAUGAUUGUGACAAAUAAUUGCCUUAAUUGAGGACAUGUGGCUGUGUUUACAGCAUUUGCUAAGGCUUCAAUCCAUUCUUUAUCAUCUCCUAACAAACCUAGGGAUUUACAUGCAGCUUGGUAUGAUGGUUCUAUAAUACCAUUAACAGUUUUUAGGUCAUUAAAGUGAAAAGCCCCUUUUUGCAAAUUCAAAAGCAUUCUUAAAUAAUAUAAUUCACCAGAUGCAGGAUGUACAUAAGCUAUUCUACCAAGGGAUCCUUUUUUUUUUUUUCUAGGUUUCCACAUCUUAGUGAGAGAAUUCCACACAAAUUUUGGAGGGAAUUCUGCAUACGUUAAUGUUUGUGCUUCAUGAAAAGUUUUAUUAGCUUCAAACCAACUUGUUAACAUUGUAUAUUCAAUAUUUUUUCGGUUAACAAUUUAUUGAAGUGAUUGAUCACCAUUGAAAAUAAUAUUUUGUUCUAAAGGUAAAUGUAUUGGUAAUCGUUCAACUGAGGGUUUUCUAAAAUGAAUAGGAUAUUGAAACAAUCUCCAAACAGCUUCAUAUGGAGAUAUGUAUCUACAAUUUAGAUAGGCUAGUAUUUCAUCUUGUUGGUUCUCUUGGAAAACUACUCUAGCUCUAUCUGAACCUUUGUUUAUAUAUUUGAAAAGAUAUUUUAUAAGCAUUGAUUGACAACAUGAUUCAACAUUUAUAUGAGUAUUGUAUCUAUGCAGUAAUUUGGAAUUGUAAGGUACUACAAAACUAUUAUCAAUUUGUAUUCCAUUUUUUAUCACAAAUUUUGUUGGGUCGUCACGGCGUUUGUAUACAGGGUAACCAUUUGUUUCAAAAAUUGUUUCGCUUUUAUAUUGUUUGGGAAAAGAUUUAGAACAUUUUCCUUCUCGCAUACAUGGAGAAUGAGGAUUUAUUUGUCCACAUGGACCAUGGAUCAUAAAUUGAGCCACAAUAUCAUAAAGAUCAUAAUUUACAGUUUUGUUUGGUAAUUCAGCAGAAAUGAUAGAAUCUAUAUCAACUGCUGAAUAACAUUUAUAAUUUUGUUUUAACCAGAUCAACAUGUGAGCAUGUGGCAAUCCUCUUUUUUGGAAUUCGACAGUACAAACAUCUGUGUUGAUUGGGUGAAAAAAGGGAAAAAAUUCUUAGUUAGUUUUAUUAUUUAAUAAAAUGAUAAAAAUGGAGAGUAGUAUAAAUGGUGUGUUUUUAAAAUUUACCAGCUUUGAUUUCUCCAAAAGGUUCUCCUGAUUUGAUAUAAUUGAUCAUAUCAUCAAGUUUUAUUUUAAAUAAUCUUGAAACUAUAUCAGGCCGAUCUUCUGGUUUGUAUCUAGGUUUUGUAUUAAACUCUCUUACAAUUUCGGGCCAUCUAACAUUGCAGGUGAAAAUUAUAAAUAAAUCAGGAUUUCCAUAUUGUCUACAAAUUGCCAUAGCAUCUUGAUAAUUGUUAAGCAUGUAUCUAGCACUUCCAGUAUAUGAGCUAGGCAAUAUCACUCUUUGACCUAUGUUAUUAGCAUCAUUAUCACCCUUUGAAAUUGCAUCAUAAAUGCCUUUAUAAACCUCACUUCUUAAAUUUUUUUGAUUUUUCCUAAUAUAAUCUAAUCAAUCUUCUUCAAGUGUUGCAUAAGCGUCUACUAAAAAUUGUUGGAACAAUCUUCCACCUUUUAAUAAUGUAUCGAAUUGAAACACUCUUUCUUGGAUUCGAUAAGCUAUAAAAGCUCUCAUAGGAAUUCUUCUUCGUUUAGAUUCAUGGCUUGUACAAUGCCAUUUUAAGUCAGGUGUAUACUCAUCUUCACCAAAAGAAAAAAGAAGAGGAUAUUGUAAAGACAUGAAUUUUGGAUUUAAUUUUGUCACACGUUUAACUCUCCACUUUUAAAUUCUAUUAUAAUAUCUCUAUUUGAAUAAAAAAGGCCUAUAUCUCCCACUAUUAAACCACCAAUUUCAUCACAUGUUGGUUGUUCAUAUUGUUUGCUAUCAUUGGAUUGCCUGCCUAACAAUGUGAUCUUUAGAGGAGGAAGAGAACCUUUUUCAAAUUUAUCUCUAAUUGUUCGAAAAAGUUUAACCAAUUCAUUUGUUUGAUCAAACAUUUGAAUUAAACCUUCCACAAUGUUUUGAUCUAGCUUUUCAUUUUUUUGAUUACAAUUAACUGCAUCAAGCCGAUUCAUAACCUCAUUAUGGGUAUCAUAUAUAUAAAGUUGGGCAAAUUUAAGACAUUGACCCUCAGGAGGUAGUAAAGAACCCAUUAAAUGAUGAACUUGACCACUGAUUUUGAAAACAUAAGGGCUUGAUCCAUUGUUAAUUGAUUUAUCAAUUUUGGCUCCCAUUGAAGUAAAUGCAAACAUAGAAUUGUAAACCCUGAUAUUUUCUCUGAAUAAUACACUUUUUUUCCCUUUAUUAGGAUCAAGCAAAUUUUCUAAAAAACAGGGUGUUGGUUUUGGACUUUGAAGUUUAAUUUUUCCUUGUUGGCAACAAAGAGUAAAGAGAGGCUCAUUGUUUUUUGAUCUUUGUUUAAUGGAUUCUUGUAACCAAAAAAGUGCACCACAAUAAAUGCACUUAUGAUUCUUCUCUCCAAAAUCUGCACAUUCUUGGAUUAUUCCUAUAGGGGUGUAGAAUGGAGAGAAUAGAAAACAUAAAUGUAGGUUAUUAGUAAUAGAACAAUGUAGUUCAAGUUUAGUAGAAAAUUUUGAAGCAAAGGGAAACACCCACCUUGCCUAUUUCUUUGAAAGAUCGCUUGACCUUUACUCAUUUGAUUAAAACGAUGAAAUUCAAUUUCAUCUAUUGCUAUUUCAACUGUAUUCACAUUGAUAGAUAAUGUACUUUCAACACAUUUUUGUCUUUUGUUAUCAGCUUGAGAAAUGUUUUGAUCAUUGUUGAUAGGAAUUUUCUCGCUUGGAUGUUUAUCAUUAAUAUGAGAAACAUUUUUAUUUGGGACUUGUAUAUCAUUUGAAAUGAUGAGAUUAUGAGGUUCUUGCAUGAUUUGUUUUCUCGUGGUAUUUCUAGUUCUCUUCGACAUUAUCAACGAAGAUUUCAAUUUCCCAAAAACAGAUUGAUAUCUAGAAAAAAAAAACAUAUAUAUAUAAGUAAUAUUUCACAUUAUUAAUAACAUUUAAAUUCUAAGAAUGCAAAAUAAAUGUAGAAAUAUGAUGAUAGAAUUAUAUAAAUGAAAAUCUUCAAAUGAUAUAAUAUUUGCUAAUCAAUUAGUUAUAAAUGAUAUGCACAUUUUUUUUAAAAAGUUAGAAAAUACUGACCUGUAAUGAGAGAAUUUGUUAAGCACUUGUAGCAACACGUAUGCAAAAGCAAGAUGAUAGCAACAACCUAAAAUACAUAAGUAGAAGAACAGUUUUUGUUAAUAGGUUCAAAUCCAAAUAAUUAAAUUGAUAAAGCAAAAGUAUUUAAUUUUAUACAUCAAUUAAAUCUCUGUUAUUUUAUCAAACAACCAACUUCGUUUCAUAAUGAUUAAACAGUAUAUAUGUAUUAAUAUAAAGCCUUGUUAAACCGAUAUGUAUAGUUGAGACAUUUAACUGAAAAUUUAUAAUCAACCAAGCUCACCAGAUUAAUAAUUUAAAUAAAAUGCUUAAUGAGAACAUCAAGGGGAAAAUAUUUUUAAAAGGGGGAAAAUUUUAGCAUCAAAGCAUAUUCAACUUGUAUCAAUCAACAAAAUAAAGAUUACUUGUAAAUAACUUGUAUGCAAGCNNNNNNNNNNNNNNNNNNNNNNNNNNNNNNNNNNNNNNNNNNNNNNNNNNNNNNNNNNNNNNNNNNNNNNNNNNNNNNNNNNNNNNNNNNNNNNNNNNNNNNNNNNNNNNNNNNNNNNNNNNNNNNNNNNNNNNNNNNNNNNNNNNNNNNNNNNNNNNNNNNNNNNNNNNNNNNNNNNNNNNNNNNNNNNNNNNNNNNNNNNNNNNNNNNNNNNNNNNNNNNNNNNNNNNNNNNNNNNNNNNNNNNNNNNNNNUACAUAGUACGAAAUUGUUUUAUAUCACUGUAUCAUGAUUACAAAGCAACGAUACUAAUUUUUAUUCGAUCAAAAUAUAUUUGUAGAAAGACACAGCUGCAGAAGAAUAAAAAUUAAAAUAUAAUAUAACAAUUCUAGAUAUCUAUUAUUUUAUCAGACAACCAACUUCGGUUCAUAAUGAUUGAACAGUAUAUAUAUAUAUAUAUAUAUAUAUUAAUAUAAAGCCUUGUUAAAUCCAUAUGUACAAUUGAGACAUUGAACUCAAAAUUUAUAAUCAACCAAGUUCACCAGAUUAAUGAUUUAGAUAAAAUGUUCAAUGAGAACAUCAAAGGGAAAAUAUUUAAAAGAGGAGAAAAUUUUUAGCAAUAAAGCAUAUCCAACUUGUAUCAAUCAACAAAAUAAAGAUUACUUCUAAAUAACUUGUAUGCAAGCAUAAUCGAUGAAAAUAAAAUAUAAAAUCUUACAAAAUAAUUAAAAUCAAUUGACUAACAUGACUAAUAAUGCUCAAUUUUUAAAAAACAAUGAAUUAGAGGAGUUUUUAUACCUCGAAAAUGACAGCAGAAUGCAAAUGUCUAGUCCCUUGCUUUUUGGUGUAUUCAAGCUGUGAAAUAAACAAAUAAUUGAAUUAUAUUUGGAUCGAAUCACAUUUUUAGAGAAAUAUAGGUUAUCACAGGAUGAGAAAAAGAUGACAAAAUUUUCAUCACUAUAUGAAAUCCUGCUUAUAUUUUUAACACCAACAUAAAUUUAGUUUUGUGUAAACAACUUCACAAUUACAAAUAUCUAUUAUUAUAUCAAAGAAUUAACUGAAUUCUAUAACGAUCAAACAAUAUGCAUAUAUUAAUAUCAAGCCUAGUUAAACAGAUAUGCACAGUGAGCACAUUUGACUCAAAACUCAUAAUCAAUCAAGGCCACCAAGUCAAGAAAUCAAGUGAAAUGUUUCCUGAGAACCCUAAAGAAAACCAAUAGAGGUUAAGAUAAAAUCAUUGCCAAUUUCUAUUUUGUUGAAACCUGAUUGGUUUUGUUCAAGCAUUUUAUGGAAUUUUAAUGAGAGAAGAAUAAGGUAACUUUUGGCUACGACACAAACACAACUAAAAAAGAAUAGUAUAAUGAUUUAGACCCAACAAAACAAAAGUACAAUGCCGAGAUAGACCCAACAAAAGAAAAGUACAAUGUUGUCGUACUCAUCACCUCUUGACCCAUCUCUCCAGCUCACUCUAUGUUGUGUGCACAGAAACAAAACUCAAAAGUCUCUUACACGCCUCUCUCUCUCUCUCUCUCUCUCUCUCUCUCACACACACACACACACACAGGCACACAUAAACAGAGAGACCCAUGCGCUUCACUUCUCUCUAUAAAAUCUCUUUCUUUCUAAUUGGGUUUGUUGAGCUGAGGCAUGGUUGCUGGCCAAAUCUGGAAUAGCCUAUUUCAUGGUUGUCUACCAUUUGAAGGAAAUCUUCUUCUUUGGGCAGAGCCCUUCCCGUCCACCAGCUAUACCAGUGUCUAGCUCAACACACGGUGCUUUGUUUAAGGAGGUUAGUCGAUAAAACCCAUUUGAUCAGUGACAGUGGAAGAGGCUUCAAAUUAGUUGAUGGAUUUCGUUUUCAGAAAUAAAUUCUCUGCUCUUGUUUUUGUGAAAAAACUUGGUUUUUAUGCUUUGACUGAUCUGUUUAUGUCACCAAUGUUAGCUGUAAGUUUGGUUUGUGUUACCAAUUUAAUGGGCUUUGCAUCAUCUCUCACAAACUACACUCUGUUUUUCUCAUACCAGUGGUGAUAUAUUGCUUUGGUGGGAGAACAGAGAAGUCAAAAAAAUUAAUUGACAAUUGAGUAGAAAAAUUAAUUGACAAUUGAGUAAAAAAAUUAAGAAUAACAACGCUGGAAAUACCUCAGCGAAUCUGUAAGAUUUAAUCCCCUUCCUGAUAGAACCCAAGGGAGCUGGAAAGUGAGCACUUUGGAAGAGCAGAGGAAGAUGAGAAGAAUGGAAACGAAGAAGGCAAGCAAUUCGGUGGGAAAAAAGGUGGUUUUGUAAAACAGUGGAACCCUCCAGAUUUAAACAGUGAAGAACCAACAGCUCUCCCAUUUUACCCCUGUAGCUCUCCAACCAGCUAGUUGAAAUCCCACCAGACACCUCUCAGCCCUAAACAACAGCUAGUUACAUCCCAAGGAAAGAGAGGGCAAAACGGGAAAAAUACAGAACAAUCAGUCAAGGGCAAAAUGGCAAUUUUACUGUGCAAAAGGAGAGGAAAAGCUGGCUGCACAGUUUUAAAUGGAGGCAUUUUCGUAAUUUUACUGUGCUUAGCUACAGUAUUUAGUUGCAUUGGGUUUUAGUAUAUAUAGAAUUUUGUUUUUCAAUUUAUAAAAUUAGAUCCAAAUAAGAUACCAAACAUGUCAUAAGGUUUUUUUUUUUUUUUGGGAACAAAAGGAGAGUUUUUUUUUUUUUUUUUUGGCUGCUUACCAAGGUCUUAAAUAUCGAUAGUUUCGGAAAUAUCGGUGGUUCAAAAACACGGAAAUAUCGAUGGAAAUAUCGGGAAAAUAUCGAUAUCGAUAAAAAUUGGAUAAAAACCACGGAAAUUAUGAUAAAUACUUGGAAAUUUUUAAUGAAACUUUAGAAGAAGUUUAUUUAGUCAAUCAUCUAUUAUUUUGACACAAAAAAUUGGAAGAAAAUGCAUUGCAUAGUGGGUUUGUGUGAUUUAAGUUGAUUAUAUUGCGACCUGACAAACUCUGUGACUUAGAAAAUCUGAAGUAAUUAAUGAAAGAGAAUUAAACACUCCUUAGUAAUUUAUUUAUCAUUUUUUAGUACAAUAUUUUACUCUUUAUAAAUUGCAUGAUAAGAUACAUGAGUAAACUUAUUUCACGUUAUUCACUGGACAUGGUACACGUUGUUAUAUCUAUUGAAAAUUAGGCACUUUAAUAGUGAAGAUUGAAAAUUAACUAAGAACAUAAAUAAAUUUAUCCAGUGAAGAAUUAAAUAGGAAAUAAUGAAAAUGAUUAUAGAAAUUUAAGUAAUUAAGCAACAAUUUAUUUCACGUUAUUCAUUGGACAUGGUACACGUUCUUAUAUUUAUUAUUUAUCAAAAAUUGAAAAAUAAUUAAAGAUGUAAACCAAUUUGAUUUUUCAUGAAAAUUAGGCACUUUAUCAGGCUUAAAAAAUAAUAGUGAAGAUUAAAAAUUAACUAAGAACAUAAAUAAAUUUAUCCAAGGAAGAAUUAAAUAGCAAAUAAUGAAAAUGAUUAUAAAGAUUUAAGUAAUUAAGUAACAAUUUGAAGGAUAAUUUAGUAAUGUAAGUACUUAUAAUGAAUAAUAAAAUAAUCAAUAACAUUAAAUGAAUUAAAUAGAAAAAAAAAUAAAUUAUAUUAAGUAAUUAAGUCACAUUUCCCACUUCCCAAUUACUUUCACGUUUUCCUGCCUCCCUCUUCCACUUCCCAAGGUUUUUUUAACCUUUUUUUUUGUUUGAACUUCCCAAGGUUGCAGAUACAUGCAACCUGCCUUCUCUCUCUCUUUUGGGCAUUCACCCAUCUCUCCCUUUUUAUUCUUUUUAUUUAUUCUUCUUCCUCUUCCGUUUCACACUCCCACUCUCUCUCUCUCUCCCCUUCUUCUUCUAUCUCUCCGUCUCUUUCUCUUCUUCAUCUUCCCUCUUCUCUCUCCUCCAUCACAAUCCAAAACACUUAAACAUAAAGACCAACUCCACACAUUUUUUCCCUCUUCUUCCCUUCUCUCUCUCGCUCUUCUCUAUCUGCUUUUUUUUUUUUUUCUUUCUUCUUCUAUCUCUCCGUCUCUUUCCUUGCUUCCUCUUCCCUCUUCUCUAUCGCUUCAUCACAAUCCAAAAUAGCAAAACAUAAAAACCCACUCCAUAAUUUUUUUUUUCCUCUUCUUCCCUUCUCUCUCGCUCUCCUCUUUCUGCUUUUUUUUUUCCUGAGUUGAGAGACAGAGAAAGGCUGAGUUUCAGAGGCUGAGGGGUUCAUCUGAAGGCUGAGUUUAAUUUUGUAAGUUCAUAUCGCGAUAUUAUCGAUAAUAUCGCGAUAUAUUGUCCAUUUAAAGCUACAACUUGAACGAAAAUAUCGUUAUUGAAAUAUCGGCGAAAUUAUCGAGGAAAUUAUCGAUAAAUUGACGAUAUAUAUAUGGAAAUGUGCUAAAAUAUCGUAGCCCCAAAAAAACGAUAAUUUCGCCGAAAUAUCGGCGAAAUUAUCGAUAUUUUGUUCUAUGCUGCUUACAGACUACGCUUGAAAAGAAAAGUAGAAAAAAGGAAACAACCGACUAAGCAAAGAUAGAUACUUAAAGCGACACGUGUAUGACACGUAUACAAGAAGACUCCGAGCAGCGAAAGAGAUAAAUUCCCAUCUGUCCUACAAGUGUCCUCCGCCGAAAUUGAAAUCGAAAUCAUCUUCUUCUUCCUCCUUGCGUCUGUUUAUGCAACUCAACCUCUUCGUCUUCUUACCUUUCCUCGCAUUCUCAUCCUUGGCAGAAGAAUCAAAUCCCUCCCAACUCCAAAACAUGGCCACUCUCGGCGGAGUCCACGAAUCCCAUGCCUCCCAGAACAGCCUCGAAAACCAAGACCUCGCUCGCUUCGCCGUCCAAGACCAUAACAACACGGAGGUCUUUACUCUUUUUUGCCUUUUAAUUUCUUCAAUAUUAUGCUGGAAUUUUAAUUAAUUAGAUUAUUAAGCAAUUAAUUGAAAUUCUUACAGAAUGCUCUGCUUGAGUUUGCUGGAACUUGCUCGUGUGAGUCUGCAUGAAACUAUAAAUCAAUGUUACAUCUUUGUAAACAAAAAUAUAAAAGACAUGUUCAGUCAAAUUUCAUUCAGUACUAAGGAGUACCAGUAUGAUUUCAUUGAAAGUGCUGCACUAUUACUUUAAGACUUGUUUUUUUUUUUAAUAACAUUUAUAGCCCUCCUCCUGUGUUUCAAUUUGGUACAAACUGUGCCAAAGAACUGUAUUUUCUAUCCACGAGAUGGAUUCAUGCCGCCCUACGAAUUAACUGUUAAUAACAUAACUGAAUGUUGGUUGUGGCUUAAAUGGAAAACAAGAAGCAUCUGCAUGCUGCAAUUGGAUAUGAAACAAUAUUUAUCCAAGAAGAGAAGAAAUUGUGAUGUUACUUCACAGCUCGUUUUUGUAAAUCGGGACAGCUGAAAUAAUGAGGAAGCAGAAAAGUCUGUGUUGUGGAUAAAAUGUUUUGUUUCUGUCAUAUGUUUUUGCAUUCCGCCACGGUCACUUACAGGAUGAGAUGAUGUUAGAGAGUGAGUUUUAUGGCUCGUGUUUUUUUCUCUGUUUUAAAAAAUAGCCCAGGUGCUGGUUUUAAAUAUAAAUAAAAGGAAGAACUUGAAACCAUGAACAUAUAAAAAUAAAAGCUUUAUUAUCAAUUCCUCCCUAAAUUCUACUCCCAUAAUUUAUUGAGAAUGUAAUUUCAUACCAAUUUACAAAUUCUACUUCCACAAUCAUCAGCCUGCUAUAAUCACUUUUGAUAAAGCCCACCGACACAAAAAAGAUCUUGAAACCAUGAUCAUAUAAAAAUAAAAGCUUUAUUUACCAAUAUAAAAUCUUCUAACACAAUAAGUCCGCCGACACUAAAGACAAUGUGAGGAAGAACUUGAAGUGAGGAAGAACUUGAAACCAUUACCAUAUAAAAAUAAAAGCUUUAUUUACCAAUAUAAAAUCUUCUAACACAAUAAUGGAGGACAGCUGUAUGACGAGUCUAAUCGUGUGGGUUCCCCACGUUAUUACAAACGCACUUGUCUUUUUGCAAUAAUAUUCUCACUCGAAGACUCCAAGUCAAUGAUACUGAGAGCAACAGCCAAAUCCUUUGCUGCAAAACUUGCUUCAAAUCUUAACUCAAGUCCAAAUCCUUUGCAAAGAAUCGAAACAUGGCUGGAGCUUUGGUUGGAGAGGCUAUUCUCUCUGCCUCCGUGCAGGUGCUGUUUGACAAGAUUGGUUCCAGCGAGUUCGUGGACUUGUUCCGGAGAAAGAAACUGGACGAGUCGCUUGUUAAGAAACUGGAGAUAACGUUGUUGAGCCUUAAUGCGGUGCUUAAUGACGCGGAGGAGAAGCAAUUCCUGAACAGCUACGUGAAAGAGUGGCUUGAUAAGCUUCAAGAUGCUGUCUUUGAUGCGGAUGACCUUCUGGAUGAGAUCAAUGCUGAAGUUUUGCGAUGCAAGGUGGAAGCUGAAUAUCGAACCGUCAAAACUCAGGUGUGGAACUUCCUCUCUACUUCUCUUAAUCCUUUUUAUCAAGGCAUGAAUGGUAGGAUUCAAGAGUUGUUUGAUAGAUUAGAACACCUCGCAAAACAAAAGGAUUUCCUUGGGCUGAGAGAAGGUGUUGUUGGGGGGAAGGUUUCUCAAAGAACUCCAACAACUUCCUUGGUGGAUGAAUCUUGUGUGUACGGUAGGGAUGGAGAUAAAGAAAAGCUGAUGAAACUGUUGUUAUCUGAUGAUGCAAGCGACAAGGAUGUCUCCGUCAUCACCAUAGUGGGAAUGGGCGGGGUUGGCAAGACAACCCUCGCUCAGCUCCUUUAUAAUGAUGAAAAAGUGAAAGAGCAUUUUAAUCUUAGAACCUGGGCUUAUGUUUCGGAAGCUUUUGAUGUUACUAGGGUAACUAAGUCCCUACUUGAGUCAGUCAGUUCAAAAGCUUACGAUAAUAAAGACCUGAGUUUUCUUCAAGUUGAGCUAGGACAACAAAUAAAGGGCAAGAAAUUUCUGUUUGUGUUGGAUGACCUUUGGAAUGAGAACUAUGGUGAUUUGAGUCUCUUGCAACGUCCUUUUGCAUCCGGGGCAAAGGGAAGUUGGGUCAUCGUGACAACACGUAACGAAAGUGUUGCAUCUCUCGUGCGCACCAUUCCGAUUCACUUUUUGAAACAGUUGUCUAAUGAGGAUUGCUGGUUGUUACUUUCAAAACACGCCUUCGAAAAUGGAAACUCAAGUGCACAUCUAGAGCUGGAAGAAGUUGGUAAGAAAAUUGCUUCUGCGUGCAAUGGUUUACCUUUAGCAGCAGAAACCCUUGGAGGCCUCUUGCGUUUCAACACAAAUUAUGAGCAAUGGAAUAGCAUACUAAAUAGCAAUAUUUGGGAGCUGCCUCCUGAAAAAUGUAAUACAAUUCCAGCUCUAAGAUUGAGUUACCAUUAUCUCCCAACUGAUUUAAAACGAUGUUUUGCUUAUUGCUCAAUUUUUCCGAAGGGCUUUGAAUUCCGAAAGGAAGAUAUUGUUCUACUGUGGGUGGCAGAAAGUUUAAUUCCACAAGCUGAGAGUGAGAAAAGUAUGGAAGAGCUCACUAAGAAAUACUUUGAUGACUUAUUGUCACGAUCAUUUUUUCAAAGAUCAAGAAAUGAGAAGUUCACAAUGCAUGAUCUCAUCAAUGACUUGGCCAUGUCUGUGUCAAGGGAAUCCUGUUUGAGAUGGGAAGGGGGCGAAUCACAUGAAGUUUUGAAAAAAGUUCGGCAUUUGUCGUAUGCUAUAGGCCAAUUUGAUUGUGCUGCGAAAUUUGAGCCAUUAUAUCAGGUUAAGCAUUUGCGAACCUUCCUACCUCUAAGAAGCAAAGAAUGGUGGUUUGAGCAUUAUGUAAUAAGUAAAAGGGUUUUACCUGAGUUAUUGCCAAAUUUAACAUGUUUACGGGUGCUAACAUUGUCAGAAUAUGAUAAUAUUGUUGAGUUACCCAAUUCUAUUGGUAACCUCAUUCAUUUGCGCUACUUGGAUCUCUCUAAUACCGGAAUCAAAAGGUUACCUUCUAUAGUUUGCACUCUUUAUAGUCUACAAACAUUACUAUUGGCAAGUUGUCGGUCUCUUUUUGAAUUGCCUGCAGACAUGAGAAAAUUGAUUAACUUGAGGCAUCUUGAUUGUAGUGGAACUCAAAUUGAAGAGAUGCCGGUGCAAAUGGGUAGACUAAAAAGUUUGAGAACAUUGACUACUUUUGUUGUGGGGAAAUCUACUGGGUUGACUAUUGGCGAAUUGGGGGAGUUAUCCCAUCUUGGAGGAAAGCUUUCAAUUUUGAAGCUUAAUAAUGUGGUUGAUGGUAGGGAUGCAUUGCAAGCUAAUUUGAAGAACAAACAAGAUCUCAAGGAGUUAGAGUUGGCAUGGGGCUCCAAAGAUGCCGAUCAUUCCGAAAAGGUGAGAGAUGUGCUUGACAACCUCCAACCUUGCAUGAAUUUGGAGAAAUUGACCAUCAAACGUUAUGGCGGGACCAGCUUCCCAAACUGGUUGGGAGACUCUGCCCUCAAUAAAAUAAAAGUUUUGCUUCUCGAAGAUUGUCGUUAUUGUUUCGAGUUGCCACCGCUUGGACAGCUACCUUCUCUUAAGGAGCUCAACAUAUGUAGGAUGAAAUUUCUUAGGACGUUAGGUCCUGAGUUCUAUGGUCAGCCAUUUCAGCCAUUUCAAUCGCUGGAGAUGCUGGGGUUUAGGGAGAUGGCAGAGUGGGAGGAAUGGGUACCAAGUGGAAGUGAAGGUCCAAACUUUCCUCGUCUGCGGAGGUUGAUUCUAAGUUGGUGUCCAAAGCUGAUAGGAAGCUUGCCUUGUGAUCUGCCUUGCUUGAAGAAGCUUAGCGUGAAAGGGUGUGGGGUUUUACAUGAUCAAAGGGCCACUGCUACUACUAGUACUAGUACUAGUCUCAACUACAAUUGUCUUGAAGAAUUGGAAAUAGAAGAUGGAUGCCAAACAGGUCUGUUAUCAUUACUAGAGACAAAGCUCCUGUCCCGACUUUAUGUUACACGUUUUAAUGACAUACAGUGCUUGCCCAACAUCAAUCGUCUUCAAAGGUUGAGUCUCUCGAAGUGUCCAACCCUGUCGUCGUUCCCUGAAGAUGGCCUACCCACUUCGUUGACUUCACUUAACAUAUACAGUUGUAGGAGAUUAGAAUUCCUACCUCAUGAGAUGUUGGCCCAAUUAACAUCGCUUUCCUCUUUGAUUCUAGAGAAUAGCUGUGAUUCAAUGAGGUCCUUCCCCUUGGGCAUUUUUCCCAAAUUGACGACACUUGAUAUUCGCAAUUGUGAGAAUCUGGAAUCGCUUUGCUUGAUUGAAGAAGAAGGAGCGGUCGAGAAUCUCAGUCAUCUCAAUAAUUUGAGAAUCUCAAGCUGUCCAAAUCUGGAGUGUUUUCCCCAGGGAGGAUUGCCCACUCCCAACCUGACUUGUUUGGUAUUCCGGAGAUGCAAGAAGUUGAAGUCAUUACCUGAACGCAUUCACACCCUCACAGCCCUUGAAAGAUUGAGUAUAAGCGACGUUCCAAAUCUGGAGUCAAUUGCAGAGGAUGGGGGUUUGCCUCCCAACCUCCGAUAUUUUAGCAUUGAGAAUUGUGUGAGACUGAGGGCUUCAUCUUCAUCAGUGGGAGACUACUGUAACUGGGGUUUGCAAGCAGUUGAAGAAUUUACAAUUGGUGGCAGGGGAAGUGAUGAAAUCUUGGAGACGUUGCUCAAGCAACAGCUGCUCCCUACCACUCUUCACACUCUCUGGAUCUCUUCAUUAUCAACUCUGAAAUAUUUGGAUGGAAAGGGACUUGCACACCUUACUUCUCUUCAAGAACUAUUUAUUGCUGGGUGUGACAGUCUGGAAUUCCUGCCAGGAGAGGCACUUCAACACCUCACUUCUCUUCAAAAGCUAAAUAUUUGUAACUGUCCGAGUCUCCAAUUCCUGCCAGAAGAGGGUCUGCCGCCAUCUCUUUCUUAUCUGAAGAUCGUCGGCUGUUCUGCCCUGGAGAAAAGAUAUCAGAAUAAAACGGGACAAGAUUGGGCCAGCAUAUCUCACAUUCCAUACAUCAGGAUAAAUGGUGAAGUCAUCAUAUGAUGAUAUGACCUCUCUCUCUCUCUCUCUCUCUCUCACACAUUGAGGCAAACAAACUCUGGUCAUGUAUCUACGUCAAAUAACCGCUUUAACUGCUUUUCUUCUAAUUCAAUACAAAAACUGAAAUUCACUAUUCAAAUAACCGCUUUGACGUUUGUAAGAUUGUUCUUCUAUUUUGUUGUACUUUCUGAAUCAGUAGUAACAAAAACAAUUUCUUACCAGCGGUUAUUGUAUUAUCUUACAUAGUGCCAUGUACAUGCAUACCAAAUGGUUUUGUUCAACUGAAAAGAUUGACAUGGUAAAUUUAUUCAAGUAGUAUAAAAACCUACAUAUGCCAUCUUCUUUCAUUCAAUUUUCGAAAAGUGUUCAUUCAUCCCGUUCUUCUUCAAAAAUUAAUGGAGGAAGUUAUACUAGUCGCAUGGUUUGAAGAAGGCAACUUUCCUUUUCCCUGUCUCCCUGGUCCAGCUGCUACUUCAUUACCUAGUAGCUUUAUCUAUAUGAUUGUGUGGAUAUGCAUAUAAUCUCUUAUCUGCAAAUGAUUUUUUUUUUCCGUCCCACGAAUCAUUCCUUCAGCUACAAAGUUCUAUUUGAUGAGACUUGAAAUGUUGGAUGUGUACUUGCAGACUUGAGAAACUUUCCCAUGUUUGGAGGUCAAAGCAACUUGUAUAGGCAACCAUGCCCGAGGAGAGUUUACCAUUGUAUAUGGAUUUUUGUUUUUCUACAAACAAAUUGCGGCAAAGAAGGGGAAGGAAAUGUUCUCAAAGCAGAGCUCUAGAAAGAGACCAGCAUUUGGACAAUGUCGUAAACGGAUCUCAAUCUAACAUAACAAGCAUCACUUUCCAUUCAUGAUUAGGUAAUCUUUCAUCAUAAAAUUCCUUUCCCUACGUAAUAACUUGAAGACGUCAUUUAUGAGAGCUCAAGUUCUGGGACAUACGACAUUGAGGAAACUCCAUGCUUGGUCUUGAACAAUACUAUGAUUUUCCUCCGGUAGGGAAUCACAUAAGUGUUCCUUAUGCAACGAAUAUUAAUGCUGCACACUUCAUUAAUGACUUGUUUAUUUAGAAGAAACAUUUUUUAGUGAAAAAGAUAGUAACAUAAACGAGUACUCGUCCAUCACAGAACAGGAACAGAGCUGAUCUUAAGAGAAAUACAACUGUAAGAGCUUUAACAGGAACAGAGCUGCCUUCCAUCCUUGAAUUGUGAUUAAACCAAUGCUCAAGGUGAAGAUAGGAACCUCACCCUAUUCGGAAGCUCUUGUUGGCGAGUCCUUACUUAGUUAGGAUUUUGGUUCCUUAUUUUAUUAGAAUUUUGGUUACUUACCAAUCAUUAUUUAGUCCUAUUGUAGUAGAGAUUUACUUCCUAUUGUAAUUUAGAUAUAUUUCCUAUUUUAUUUAAGGUUAACAUAUCUUUGUACUCGUAUAAAUACCUCUAUAUUGGAGAAGAAUAAUAAUAUGAGUGAAUAUGAGCAUAAUUGAAUAUUUUACGCUUCUUUGUUUAGCAUGGUAUCAGAGCGGCGAUCUUGGAAUUGCUGACUCUAGUUUCAAAUCCCCGCCGCCGCUAUGAGGGUUGAUGAUUUUUUCAACCCUCAUGGAGGUAGCACCACUGACUUCUUCUCUUAUUCUCAACCAACCAUCGUUGAGUUGAGUGCCCAGAUGGCUCAGCUCCUACAGAUGCAGACUUUGACCCCGAACCCGAUCCAGAAUCAGGAUCCUCUUUUGACGACCCCGACCCCGACCCCGACUAUGACGACGACGACCCUGACCCCGACUCCGAUGAUGACCCCGACCCCGAAUUUGGCUCUAAUUCAGACCCCGAUCCCGAAUUUGACUCCGACUCCGGCCCUAACUCAGGCUCAGAUUCCGAUCCAAAUUCCUACUCAACGUGUAUUUUAUGCAUCUUCCGCUGCACAGAUUAUGACUUCUCGACUAACGACCCCGACACAUAGACCAGAUUGCGCAUAUUGUGGUGAUCCGAGACACACUUGUGAGACUUGUUUUACAUUGCCUAGCUAUCCCAAUUGGUGGGCUACUCUUACAGAUCGAGGACAAUGCAAUAUGGCCAGUAAUGAUACUGGUUAUGGAUUCCAUACUUUCAAUAAGAUUGAUUCCAGGAGCUGGAUAAUUGAUUCUGGUGCAACUGAUCAUAUGACGUUUGAUCCUGAUGAUUUUCUGAAUACUACACAACCUCGACGAACUUGUAUUGCAAAUGCCAAUGGUGUCACUUAUCCUGUGACAGGGGCUGGCACUGUUGCACUCUCAUCCUCUCUCACACUGUCUAAUACUUUACUUGUUCCAUCUUUAUCCACUAAAUUGUUGUCAGUUAGUCAACUUACUAAACAAUUGAAUUGUUGUGUACUCAUUUACCCGAGUUUUUGUUUGCUUCAGGAUAUUCACACUAAGGAGAUUCUUGGUCGUGGUACUAAGAGAGGGAGGCUAUAUUAUGUCGAUGACUUCAGUCCCGGCGUGGCUAACUGUGUGACACAUCCCUUUGAUAGCAAACAAAAGCAAAUCUGGUUGUGGCACCGUCAAUUGGGACAUCCGUCUUUUAAUUAUAUGAAGCAUCUUAUAUUUUGGCUAAGAGUCACCUUGUGCCCUACCCGUUGAGUACGAACAAGUGUACUACUCCAUUUACGUUAAUUCACUCUGAUGUCUGGGGACCUUCGCCUACCACUGCUCCUUCUGGUGUUCGAUGGUUUGUCACAUUCAUCGAUGAUUGUACACAGAUGACAUGGCUUUAUUUGCUGAAGAAUAAAAACGAAGUGUUUUCCUGUUUUCAGUCCUUCCACAAACAGAUGAAAACUCAGUUUAAUGCUCAAAUCCAGAUUCUUCGCUCAGACAAUGGUGGAGAAUUUGUCAAUCAUGACUUUCAGACUUACUUCCAACAACAUGGAAUUAUCCAUGAGACGACUUGUCCUCAGGCACCGCAACAAAAUGGUGUUGCUGAACGAAAGAGUAGACAUCUUCUUGAAACUGCUCGAGCACUUCUGAUUGGUGCUCAUGUUCCUCGCCAUCACUGGGAUGAUGCUAUUGUCACCGCAAUUCACCUGAUCAACCGCAUGCCUUCUGGUGUAUUGACCUUUAAAACUCCCUUACAGGUGCUUGCGCAACACAGAAAAUUCUCACAAACAAAUAUUCUCUCAUAGUUUUCAUAUUUUAGCAUGGUAUAAGAGCCUGGUUCCUAACCUGUGAUAACCUCUGACAAAUUGAGAGUCGUUGGCAUUCCUCAUUCCUAACCCAUCAUGGGUCUUCACCUUGCUGUAAAUCCUCGUUUCUCCUUUCCUUAAUAAUCAACAUAUAUUUCUUCUGCCUUAGCCAUAACCGCACCUUUCUGCAAUUUUACCCUUGUCUUUGUCCUUGCGGUGUUUAUUUGAGUCAUUACUGCUAAAAUAUGAAACCUAAUACGAGAAUAUUUGUUUGUGGGAAUUUUCUGUGUAUUCUUCUCCUUGUAGGAGGUCAUAUUUAUAAUACAACAAAACCUGAAUGGGCAAGUAAAUAAUAAAUUCCUAAAUCCAUUUACAGUAGGAAAUCAGGAAUUAAAGUAAAUCAAUUACAAUUAUAAUAGGAAUUCUUGGUGUGUAAGGAAAGUAAGUCAAUACCCACAAGUCACGCCAACACUCCCCUCACGUUGGUGCAUAGAUGUCGCCAAUGCUCAACUGAUCCAGUGAAUUGUGGAAUGCUUUACUGGAAAUUGCCUUUGUCAAAAUAUCCGCCAAUUGAUCAUCGGAUUUCACAAAAGGAAACUGAAACACUUUAGCCUCAAGCUUCUGUUUGAUGAAGUGUCGAUCCACCUCAACAUGUUUAGUAUGAUCAUGUUGAACCGGAUUUUGUGCAAUGGCUAUAGCAGCCUUGUUGUCACAAAAGAGAUUCAUUGUGGAUGUAGGUUUAUACCCAAGUUCAGUAAGCAGCUUUCUUAACUAAAGAAGUUCACAAAUCCCUUUAGUCAUGCCUCUGAACUCGGCUUCUGCACUGGAUAAAGCUACUACAUUCUGUUUCUUACUCCUCCAUGUCACCAAAUUACCUCCCACGAAUGUGAAGUAACCCGAUGUGGAUUUUCUAUCUGUUACAUUACCUGCCCAAUCUGCAUCUGAAUAACCAUCAAUAUUUAGAUGACCAUGCUUUGAGAACAUAAGUCCUUUUCCAGGUGCAGACUUCAAAUAUCUAAGUAUCCGAAGAACUGCAUUCAUGUGGUCUUCACUUGGAGAGUGCAUAAAUUGACUGACAACACUCACCACAUAAGCAAUGUCUGGUCGAGUAUGUGACAAAUAGAUCAAUCUUCCCACUAACCUUUGGUAUCUUUCUUUGUUAGUUGGAACUUGAUCCGGAUAUUCUCCAAGAUGAUGAUUCUGAACAAUAGGAGUGUCCGCAGGUUUGCAAUCUAGCAUUCCUAUGUCCGUCAACAAGUCCAAGACAUAUUUCCUUUGAGAGAGAAAUAUGCAUUGCUGCGAUCGAGCCACUUCAAUUCCCAAGAAAUACUUGAGUCCACCUAGAUCCUUCAUCUCAAACUCAGUAGCCAAAUAGUCUUGUAGCUGUGAUAUUUCCUGUUUAUCAUUCCCAGUAAUAAUCAUAUUAUCAACAUAGAUUAUUAAUGAUGUUACCUUCCCUUUUCGAUGUUUCAAGAAUAAAGUAUGAUCUGAGUUGCACUGUUUGAAACCAUUGUUCUUCAUUGCCAUGGUGAACCGUCCAAACCAUGCACGUGGUGACUGUUUUAAUCCAUACAAUGCUUUUCGUAACCUGCAAACUGUUCCACUCUGAGUAGUAUUACAUCCAGGAGGAAUGUCCAUGUACACCUCCUCCGUGAGUUCGCCAUGUAGAAAAGCAUUCUUUACAUCAAACUGGUGUAGUGGCCAAUCCAAAUUAGCUGCAAUGGACAAUAAGACUCUGACGGUGUUUAACUUUGCAACUGGUGCAAAAGUUUCUUCAUAGUCUAUACCAUAGGUCUGUGUGUACCCUUUUGCCACAAGUCUUGCCUUGUAUCGCUCUAUAGAUCCAUCUGCAUUAUGUUUUAUAGUGAACACCCAUCUACAUUCGAUAGUCUUUUUUUCUCGUGGUAUAGUCUCCAAUGUUCAAGUCUGAUUUUUCUCAAGAGCUUUCAUCUCCUCUUUUAUAGCUUGGACCCACUUAGGAUCUUUCAAUGCUUCAGAGACCUUGGUUCGAAUAUGGAUAGCAGACAAUUGAUGCACAAAAGCCUUGAGUGGUUCAGACAACUUCUCAGUGGAUACAUGAUUUGCAAUUGGAUACUUGGAUGUCUUGCCAAUAUCAGGUGAAUAACGGUUUGGUGGCUUCCCACGAUUUUGCCUGAAAGGUAAUUGAUAUCCAAUAGUUUUAUCCUCUAAAUGCACAAGUCUAGUAGGAGUAUUUACCUCAAAGAUAUUCUCAGGAGAUUGGUUCGUUGGUACUGUUGAAUGAGAGGGGGGGUCUUCAUCUUGUUGUUCUGAGUUAUCUGUAAGAGUAUGACUCGCAUCAAAAACAUCUUCGCAAGGGUUAGGCGAUCGAUCGUUGUUUGGCAGAGAGCAUUCGCACGUGCCAGACUCGGGACGAUCGAUUGUUAUUGUUUCUUGGCCGAGAGCAAUCUUCGUGCAUAGAUGAAUAUCCUCAUGUUCCAAGCUGCUCCAAUUGAGCUCUUCACUCGGUAUCUCCCCCUGAAGAGUAGAAUUGGAUGCUGGGUCAUAGAAGAACAUAUAUGAUUCUAGAAAGGUAACAUCCAAAGUGACAUAGGUUCGCCGGGUAGGAGGGUGAUAACAUUGGUAGCCUUUCUGAUGAGUGGCAUAACCCAAAAAAACACAACGAAGCGCACAUGGAUCAAGUUUGCUUCGUUGAUUUUUGUGGAGAUGAACGAAGGUCACACAGCCAAAAAUGCGACGGGUAAGUACCAAAACAGAGGGCAAAGGCCCGUGUUGCGCGAGCACUUGUAAUGGAGUUUUGAAGUUCAAGACCCCAGAUGGCAUGCGGUUGAUAAGGUGGACAGCAGUGACGACAGCAUCAUCCCAGUGAUGACGAGGAACAUGGCCACCAAUGAGAAGAGCACGGGCUGUUUCAAGGAGAUGACGAUUCUUCCGUUCGGCAACACCAUUUUUUUGUGGUGUCUGGGGGCAAGUUGUCUCAUGAAUAAUGCCAUGUGUCUGGAAGUAAGUCUGAAAAUCAUGAUUAACAAAUUCUCCACCGUUGUCAGAACGAAAAAUCUGGAUUCGAGCAUUGAACUGUGUUUCCAUCUGUUUGUGAAAGGAUUGGAACACGGAAAAUACUUCAUUCUUAUUUUUCAUCAAAUAAAGCCAUGUCAUCCGUGUACAAUCAUCUAUGAAUGUGACAAACCAACGAAUACCGGAAUGAGUAGAAAUAGGUGAGGGUCCCCAAACAUCAAAAUGAAUUAAAGCAAAAGGAAUAGUACUUUUAUUCAUACUUAAAGGAUAGGAUGCUCUAUGACUCUUAGCUAGAAUACAAGUGUCACAUUUAAAAUCUGAGUCCUUAAAUACAGAAAACAAUUCGGGCAAUAAGUGUCUCAUAUAACCAAAAGAUGGAUGCCCCAAACGUCGAUGCCAGAGCCAAAUUUGUCGGUGCUUGUCAUCAGACGGAUGCUUCACACUAUUGGCACGUCCCAUACUGAAGUCAUCCACAUAGUACAGCCCCCCUCUUUUAGUACCACGCCCAAUGAUCUCCUUGGUGAGAAUAUCCUGUAGUAAACAAAAAUUGGGAUAAAUUAGUGCACAACAAUUUAGUUGUUCAGUUGCCUGACUCACAGACAUUAAUUUAUUGGACAAAGAUGGAACGAGUAGAGUAUUAGAAAGGGACAGAGAAGGUGAAAGGGCAACAGUGCCGGCCCCUGUCACAGGAUAGGUAACUCCAUUUGCAUUGGCAGUACUUGUGCGGCGGGGUGUAGUGGUGUGUAAAAAAUCAUUCGGAUCAAAGGUAAUAUGAUCAGUGGCGCCAGAAUCAAUUAUCCAACCAGUAGUAUCUCGUAGAUCAGAAGUAUGAAAUGCAUAACCACAGUUACCUGAGACAUCCGGAAGCGCGGGACUAUCAGGAGGAUCUACCUGCAGGAACAAGGCUAAUGGGGGUUCGGUAGAGACAAGAGCAGCACGGCCAGAAUUACUAGCAGUUUCUCUGAACUUGCGAGCGCGGAGGUCCUCCCACCAAUCAGGAUAACCAUUUAGCUUAAAACAGGUGUCACGGGCAUGUUUGACGUUGCCACAGUGCGUGCAACCACUUCUAUCAGUCGGAGCCUUGGGACGGGAAGGUGGGAUGGUUUUAGGAAGUGGCGCACCAGCAGCAGUAGCAUAUGACUGGAUCUGAAGAUGGGCUGCAGUAGAGGAAUUAUGGGGCUGUCCGGCACGAGUAGGGGGACCUGAUCGAGGGGCACUCUUGGCCGCGAAGCCAGCACCAGUGGCUCGAUCGGAUGAACCCAUCAUCACUGCUUGUCGAACAUCUUCACGGUGAACAUAGGCAUAAGCUUGGUCAACAGUAGGGAAUGGAGUCAUGUGAAGAACAUCACUUCGGGCCUUAUCAAGACGAUCAUCAAGGCCAUCCAAAAAUAUGUAAACUCGAUCUUCCUGCAGAAUAUCAUUAUAGCGCUUGAUAUCACUUUCAUACUCCAUCAUAUUUGGACGACGAAAAUCAAUUUCUCUCCAUAAGCUUUGGAGAGUAUUGUAAUAGGUUUCAAUGGAGCCACCAGCUUGCCGCAUACGAGAGACUCGUCGUUUCAGAUCAUAAACCUGAGAAGUGUCAGUGCCAUCAUAGUAAGUUGUGGCAAUUGCAUCCCACAUUGCUUUUGCCGUUGAAAAUCGAAUGAAAUUGCCAAUCAAGCUCUGCUCCAGAGAAUUGAUAAGCCAUCCCUUCACAAUAGAGUUCUCGGUGCGCCAGCGAGGAAACGUUGGAGCAGUCGAAGGGGGUUGCGGAAGAUCGCCAUUAAUAUAUCUCAAUUUGUCUUUGUCGGAGAUAUACAACUCUACAACUUGGGACCAUAGGGCAUAGCUGGUGCCAUCCAACUUUAUGCAAAUCUGUGCAGCGAAAGCUUCAUAGGUAAUUGUCGUCGAAAUCGUUGUCUGAUUCGGGUUCAAGGUCGUCGUCUGAUUCGAGGUCGGGGUUGUCGUCUGAGUCGAGGUCGGGGUCGUCUUGGUAGGAUCCUGAUUUAGGAUCAAUUUCGAGGUCUGAGUCUGCAUCUGCAUUAGUUGAGCCACCUGGGCACUCAACUCGGCUAUGGUUGGUUGAGAAGGAGAGGAGGAAGCAGUGGUGCUACCGCCAUGAGGAUUAGAAGAGUCAUCCUCCCCUAUGGUGGCGGCUAGGGUUUAGAAACUAGAGUCAGCAAUCCCAAGAUCGCCGCUCUGAUACCAUGCUAAAAUAUGAAACCUAAUACGAGAAUAUUUGUUUGUGGGAAUUUUCUGUGUAUUCUUCUCCUUGUAGGAGGUCAUAUUUAUAAUACAACAAAAUCUGAAUGGGCAAGUAAAUAAUAAAUUCCUAAAUCCAUUUACAGUAGGAAAUCAAGAAUUAAAGUAAAUCAAUUACAAUUAUAAUAGGAAUUCUUGGUGUGUAAGGAAAGUAAGUCAAUAUCCACAAGUCACGCCAACAAUUACCUUUCUUUUUCUCUACCUAUGCCUGCUGCUGCCUUUUUUCUCUUACUUUUCAUCUCUCUAUGAGCUUGCUUUCUGCUAAAAUCAUAUUGAGCCCAUGUUAGUUUCAGUCUCUUGCGUUCACAGCCGAGCCUCUCUUUUAAAUGUAUACCAUAUGGGCAACACGCCCCUUGGUCAUUGAUGGCCUGAUCUCUUUCCUCCGUGAGCCUCGUCACCGUUCACCUAGCCAUCUCAAACCUCCGCAAGCCUCGUCACCGCUUGCCGAGCCUUCUCCUAGCUGGCCUUUGUCUCUCUGUUUAUUUGGGUGUUACUUUCUCCAAAUCUUGACUCUCAUACAUCAUCAGAUUUGAGGGGGAGUGACACUACUGCUCAUCUAUUCCAUUGCAAUUCACCUACCUAUCUACCAUGGCUAAUUGUCCGUGCCUGUUUCUCAAGUACCAUUGAUCAUAUGGCUCUAUCGACCCAUUCUCUUCAGGGGGAGAGGGAGAGUGAAGAGAAGUUGUCUUUGUUGUUGCUGCUGCCACAGUUGUUUGCCCUGCCUUGUCUUGCUGGUGCCAGUGCCUUAUAUUGCUCUUGCUGGUGCCAGUGCAUUGUGUUGCUCUUGCUGCUGUCAAUAUUGUUGUCUCUUGCUGGGGACAUUGUUGUUGUUGCUUCUAUUAUGUUCUGCCUUAUAAACUGCCGUGCUCACAGGGUUUCUGUGUUCUGCCUUAUCUACUGCCGUGCUCACAGGAUUUCUGUGUUCUGCCUUACCUACUACCGUGCUCACAGGGUUUCUGUGUUCUGCUAUGUGCCCUAUUUUUAGGGUUUGCUAUUGUGUUUCCGCUGCGAACUUUGCUUUAGUUUGUCACUUGUUUCACUCGUGGUUGACGAAAAGACCUUCUCUACAAUUGGUGCUUCUCAAGUAUGGUGUUCUGUGACUCGCUUGUUAAGUUGGGCGUGCGAAAUAUCUUUGCCCAACUUGAGGGGGAGUGUUGGCGAGUCCUUACUUAGUUAAGAUUUUGGUUCCUUAUUUUAUUAGAAUUUUGGUUACUUACCAAUUAUUAUUUAGUCCUAUUGUAGUAGAGAUUUACUUCCUAUUGUAAUUUAGAUAUAUUUCCUAUUUUAUUUAAGGUUAACAUAUCUUUGUACUUGUAUAAAUACCUCUAUAUUGGAGAAGAAUAAUAAUAUGAGUGAAUAUGAGCAUAAUUGAAUAUUUUACGCUUCUUUGACAGCUCUUCCAUCCCCAACCCCUUAUAAUUGUCGAAAACCCUCCUAUUCCUCCCCUUCUGAUGUUAGCCAACUCACUCCAGCCUUCCUGAAUAACACAUACCACAAAUUUGAGAUAACAUCCAUGAUCUAUUGUAUUUCCCCAUUGUUGUAAUAGAUAACAUCCAUGCCUUCUCAUCUGAUUUACUCAUUUGCCAGAGUGGGAGGAAUGAAGACCAGAAAGCCGGUGUCCAGAUUUUCCUCAUCUCAAGGACCUGACUUUAGACAAGAGUCUGAAGCUAAGAGGAAGCUUGCCUUCUCAUCUCACUUGCUUGAAAGACUUAGCUUGUCGUCUGGGUGUGGGGUUCUACAUGAUGAAAGGGCCAGUACUACUUGUAACAUGGAAUAAUGUCUUCGAAGAAUUAGAAAUAUAUGAUGGAUGCCCUAUUUGAUACGAUGCCAUUUCCAAUUCAAAAACUUUUCAGGUAUGUUAAGAAAGUAUUACACAACUAGAUGUUUAUGAUUCAAAUUCAAAACAAAGCACAAAUUGGAUUCAUAUAAAUCUACCUAAUUGCCGCGCCAUUGAUUGUAACAAUUGAUAAUUGAAUAUGCAUCUUUCAGUGUCGUCCCCUUUAAGUUUUUAGCGUAUCAAUUAGUCUCUAUCAUCUCUAUUUUCUUGUACAUUACAUACUUGUUGGUUGGAAAUUAGUUUUCAGAAGCUACAUGAGUUGGGGUUAACUAGAGAAAUUAGUUUGUUCAUAUUCUAAGACGAAUCUAACGAUCCAAGUCUUAAUGUCUUGAACUUAGGAGUGUCUUGUUGAGCUGAGAUAUGCAUGAAAAUGGAAAGCAAUCGAGUUGAAAUCCUCACUGGCUUUUCAAAAUCUGAUGAGGAAAAGUAUGAGAAAACACAUGAAGGUAAAAUUCUGUUGGUCCUUUUCUGUGCCUUUCACAUCCGAAAGGUUUGCUUGCUGCAAUUAUUCGAACUACAGUUCCAUUUCAUUAGAAUUAUUAUUAUUUUUGGUUGUAUCUCUAGACUCUCUGCGUAAGAUUCCCAAUGGGAACUACCCCAACUUGACCCAAUUUGGCAUGGAUUGUGUAUUUUGAGAUUUCAAGGUAACUGCUGCUAAUGGAAGCCCUCCUUGUUUCACUUGUUAAUUCUUAGGGAAUAACAAUUUUACCAACAAACUCAAGAAAUGCAUGCUCUGAUGUGUUGAAGUUGAAGAUUUUGAGAAAGAAUGAAAGCUGUAGCAGAAAAUGUCACAUCCCGGGAUCGGCUCCGCCGUAGCACGAUAUUGUCCACUUUGGGCCCCCCUCUCUGCCCUCACGGUUUUGUUUCUGGGAACUCACGAGCAACUUCUCAGUGGGUCACCCAUCCUGAGAUUGCUCUAGCCCCAACUCACUUAACUUCGGAUUUCCUAUGACUCCGAAGCCAAAAAAGAAAAGUAAGUUUGCUUUUUUAUAAUUGAAAGUUGGCAUCUUAAUCUUUCUGAUAAUUUACAAGGUCCCUUGAUGGCUGUGGAAGGGCCACAUGUUUUUUACUAAACGGAUACUUAACGACAGCAAUAAACUUAACAUCCUUAUUAUAUGCAGAUAGUUCAUUUGUGUUUGGAGGGGCGGCCUUCAUCUGAUCUGACCACAUGGAAAAGCUCUCUUUGUGUUGAUGAAGAAUUCUUCAUCUCAAACAAGAUAGAACUGAUGUUAAACCCUUGGGGCCACGUCUUCGUUUGGUUUUCUUGCAAGAAACUGAUGAUAAACUGAUGUUAGUGCUCGUAUUGUUGAAGUUCAAUUUGCUCUUGUCCCGCAUUGAAAGAUUAUAGCUUUGUCUAUGAAUUCUUCAAGGACAGCCAGUCCGAUACUGAUUGUUGUUUCCAACAAAAGCUCUGUCUCUACACAUUAUAGCUUAUUCCUUGAAUGUUACAUAUAUUCAAUGUUUCCAUACAUUUCAAGAAUUUUGACAAGCAAACGGUCAUUCAUUGAAGUUCAAUAUGAAAUCUUGUGAGGUUGUCUAAGCUAUGGGAUGAGCUGCUCAUGUUAUGACCCUUCUCUUCCUUGUUCCCAUGACAAUCACAAUAUUAUGCCUCCACCUAAGCAAAUUAGAAGACAAUUUGGAGUUGUGAUAUUAAAAGUAGAAUGUUACAUGCACAACUGAUCAUAACAUCUCUUAAAAUUUUUGAGCGUUAACAAGUAAAUAAACAUGCACUUAAAAAUUAAAGUAGUUGUGCAUGGAAAUAUAUUGACACUGAUUUUAUUUUGUACCUUCUCUUUCUUAUUUCCAUGAGUGAAUGUAUGUUUUGCUUGCUAAUGCUCAACAAUUUUAAGACAAAUGCUAAUCAUACGUCAGUUCGAUUUGUAGAAUGGUUAGCUGAACUUAUACAUCAGUUUCAAUUUGUCAUCUUAAAGAAAAAUUUAAGAGAAAUUUCAUUUUAAUUUUUCAAAAUUCAUGAUUUGUUGUUUGACUUUAACAUUAUCCAAUUUUUCAUAUAUUUUAAGGGUAUUUUAGUCUUUCUAUUUUCAAGGGUAUUUUAAACAUAGAAAAUUCAUUAUAAAAAAAAUGUAUAUCUUUUAAACAAUUAAAAUUGAAAAAAAUAAAUAAAUAACCUUCCUCGAUCCCUGUGUGCCAUCAACAGCUCCAACCAACUUUGUCCACCUUGAAAUCCAUUCCCCCUUCCCUCUUCACAGACCCUCCAUUUCCCCUUCCCUUCCCUCUACCCCUUCCUCCUCUCUCUACUAUGGCACACCUAGCUUCCACAUACAAAUUCCCUCAGCCCAUCCAAACCGAGUACACCUUCUUCUUUUUUCUAAUUAAAAAUUUUAGACAUCCUCAAUGAACACCAUAAAAAAAUUUAGACAUGCUUAGAGAGAGAGAGAGAGAGAGAGAGAGAGAGAGAGUGGAAGGAGAAUGAUAGAAAUGGGAGAGGGAGGAGAGAGAUGGAGAGACGGGGGAGGGGAGAGAUUGAGAAAGACGAGAGAGGGAGGAGAUAGAGAGCGUGGAGAGAGGGGGAGGAGAGAUAAAAAAAAAAAACUAUAAAUUAUAUAUGAUUUUUUGUUUUUAAUAAUGAUGGUGUUUUUGAGUUUUUCUUGAAUUUGAGUUUUUAAAAAUGAGUCUACAAAAGAGUAUUUUUUUCCUCCGUUAGUUUGGGUUUUUGUUUUUGUUUUUGUUUUUGUUUGCUUGGAAACGACGCUUGAAUUAAAGAAAAAGAAAAGAUUAAAUAGAAAAAGGAAAACAAAAGCUUACCGACUAAGCAAAGAAAGAUACUCAAAGCGACACGUGUAUGACACGUAUACAAAAAGACUCCGAGCAGCGAAAGAGAUAAAUUCCUGUCUGUCUUACAAAGUGUCAGAAACCCAAACACAAAACAAAAGCAGAUGAAAUUGAAAUCGAAAUCUUCUUCUUCUUCUUCCUCCUCCUUGUGUGUGUUUAUGCAACUCAUCUUCUUCGUCCUCUUACCUUUCCUCGCAUUCUCAUCCUUCGCAGAAGAAUCAAAUCCCUCCCAUUUCCAAAACAUGGCCACUCUCGGCGGAGUCCACGAAUCCCAUGCCUCCCAGAACAGCCUCGAAACCGAAGACCUUGCUCGCUUCGCUGUCCAAGAUCACAACAACAAGGAGG